rnacentral:lncRNA from 1 species
UUGGAAGAAAGAGCGCGUUGCUAAGACUUGAAAGUACUGCUCUCCUACAAGCUCCAUAUCUCCACCUGAAGUCUCCUUGAGGUAACCUUGAGCCAUCCACAUCUUCACCAAUUCAUCUUUGUCCAUCUCGUAGUCUUUUGGAAACAUGGCACAAUACAAGAAACAUCGUCUUACCACAGAAGGUAAAUCGUAGUAACUCAAAAGCAAAGGUGGAAAUAGUCCUCUUUCAACAUGUUCUAGCUCCCACAGUUCGCUAGAUAAAACAUGUUCCCACUCUUCUCUUGUUCUUUUAGACUGCAUUAGACCUCCUAAUACCUUGGCAGCUAGAGGCAAGCCCUUGCACUUGCUUGCAAUUUUGUCGCCGAUUUCUGUCAAUCUUUCGCACUCAUCUUUGCUUCUUUUAUGGAAUGCCACCUGAUUGAAUAUUGACCUGCAUACCUCAUCAGACAAUUUCUCAAGGUUGAUCACGUGGUCAGUUCCUAUCAUGGUUGCCACAGAAUGUUUACGACUGGUCACUAGAAUUCUGCUUCCUGUUGCACCGCCUUUGAGAGAUAGUUUCAGUGGUUCCCAUUGUCUAUGAUUUUCUGUCCAGACAUCAUCUAGGACAAGAAGGAACCUCUUUCCCUUAAUUGAUUCAGAAACACUUUGCAAAAGGGAUUCCAAUUCAACUAAAUUCGGUGCACCCCCUUGAAGCGCCUCAAGGAUAGCUUUUGAUAUCCUAACCUCAUCGAAUGGAUCUGAUACACACACCCAUAUCUUUUUCUCAAAAUGAGCCGUAACCCGAGCAUCAUUAAAAGCUAGUUGGGCGAGAGUUGUCUUUCCAAUCCCGCCCAUUCCUACUAUAGAGAUCUCCACGUCCCCUGCUUCCUGAAUACUUUCGCCCAGCAACUUGCUUACUACAGCUUCCCUUUCAUCAUCUCGACCACGCACGAUUGAUUCAUCAACAAGGGAGGUACUUGUUAUUCGUUGUAGUUCAUCAGUGGCUCUGUACAACUCAAAGCCAAACAUAGCUCUCUCUUUGGUAAUCUCAUCCACUUUUUCACAUACUUCUUUGAUCUUGAGGGCAAUGUCGCGACGUCGAGCCACUUGAUUGAAACAAAAGCAAGGAGAUCCCAGGAAGGAACAUCGCAUCUUCUGUAGGCUGCGAGUAUUUUCUUCAACUUCCUCCAUUUUCCAUCUAAGAAUUGCAGUGCUCCAUUCAUCUAGCACGUCAUCCAUAUCAUAGCAUACAUCUUUGAGCUUGUCUGCCCAAUCCCUUACAGCCUUAUCCUUCACUUGUUUUCUAUCUGCAUCUUCAAGGACAGAUUGGAUAGCAAGGAGAUUGCUUUUCAGCUUGUCGACUUGUUUCUGCACACCCCCUACUAGGUUCACUUCUUCCUGUACCUAUUGGUGUAGAAAAGACCAGAAAGUUCAAGCAGAGGAAACAGUUCUAUGAUUUCACUACAAGUUUUUAAUUUUAAUUUUUGGGAAUUAAUAGAUUAAAUAAUUUUUAUUAAUCUUUUUUCCGCAUAGUUCACACGUACAGUGAAUUGGAUUGGCUAUAUUAUAAAUUCAUAUAUAAAAUAUUUAUUAAGAACCUAUAUAUUAAAAAUAAUAAUAUUUCUUUUUAUCAUCAUCAUGAUGAUAUCUCUGUCUGCACUCUGCUACUAUACAAGAAAGGAAAAAAAUGAAUCUUAAAUUGUUCGACGUCAAACCUGUAUAUAACAUAAGCUUGGCGGAUCAAAGAAAUAUAAAAGGAAUAAAAGGAAAGUGAAUAAAAGGAUCUGUAUUUGUUGUUAUUUGUAAAGUCUAUAAUAAGAUUAUGGAAGAAAAAAAAGACUUAAAUUUUUAUAUUUCUUAUCAUGUUACGGUUAAUUCGAUCAUUGCAAAUUGUAUAAAAGUAAUUACCUGUUGAGCAACGACCGUGGUUAACUGCUCCAAAAUUGGCGAUAAAAGUGCCUCUGCCAUUUGUCUUUUUGGUUUAAUUUUAUUUUUAAAAAAGAGAUAAUUAUGAUGAUGAACUGAGAGAGAGAGAGAAGAGUGUGAGGGGAAGGAGGCUGCUGGUUGUGAAAUGAAGAGAGAGGGUUAGUUUAUGUACUUGGGGUUUGGUGAUGAGGGUUGACUAUUGUUUCCAUCCCUGUACUGUUUCUAACAUUUCAAUUCAGUCCCUGUAUUAUUGAACGUUUCAGUCUAGUCUCGGUCAGGGGUUUCCAUCUGCGGAUGGCUUUUCCUGAUUGUAUGUUUCUACUGAGAAUGACAUGCCAUUUUGAGUUCCAAAGGUGAAACACUCGUGCUUUUCUAACUUUUCCUGGCUAAGGAUUAUUAUUUGUGGAAAGUAAUUUCUUCUUCGAUUUAUAGCAAUUAUUUUGGAUUGAUACUGACCUUAGGUUAAGAAUGCUGUAGUUUCUACUGAAAUGUAUCUGAUACAGACCUUAGGGACAACUGAUUAUAGCAUUCUUCUCGUCUGCUUCUCUAUUUCUUCUCUUCAUUUUAUGUUAUUCCACUAGUCUUCCAAACUGGAUCACGGUGAUAUAUAUCUGUCCAUCCAAACUAAUUUACCCAAACCAAAAGUAGUAACCAAUUAGCUCGUGUAAUGGAACUAUAAACAAGCAUCUAUCUUUCUGGGUUUUUGAGAUCAGGUGAUUUUAUCCUGUUUUCAUAGCAGGGACUGGGGUUUGAUAUUGAUCUUUGAUUUUACCCAAACCAAAAGUUUGAAAGGAUUGCUGGUUUGUGUGAUUGGAGCUCCUUUCAAUGGGUGUGAAAAGGCCAAGAAAUGAGCAAGAUUUUCUGGAGGAAAGGAUUCAUAUUGUCUGGACUCAAUCACCUUCCUUUCUUCUUCUUCUUCUUUCUGCAGGAAAAAAGUAGAGCAGAGCAACCCUUUUUGACAGAGGCUAGUAAGUUGCAGAAGUUAGUAAGAAGUGGAUCAUUGAGCAACCAAAUAGCCAAGAUGUCUUAUUUCAAACCCAAGUACAGAUGAAUGCCGUAUUUUUAUUUUUCUAAGGAACUGCAUAUUUGUCCCCCCACUUCUUCUUUUUCUGUUGAAACAGCGACAGGGUACGUGUACUCUAGAAAAUAUUUAGAAUGGAAACAAAUAGAAAGUAGCUUAAAAUUGUGAAAAUAUUGUUUUUAAAUUGUUUAUUUCAAACCUAAUUAAUAAUAUGUUUUUGUUUUAGAUAGUUUUUGUGAUUCUGAUUUGAAAAAAAAUAAGUUUUAAAAAAGUACAGCUAGCUGUGAUUAAUUGAAUUUAAAUACGUGUUUAAUAAAAAUUAUGGUUAAAGUUUAUGUAUAAUAAAAAAUAUGUAUAAAAUAUUUGAUAGUUAUGUUUGAGACUGUGGUUGUGAUUGUUUUUUAAAGUGUUUUUUACAUUAAAAUAAUAUUUUUUUAUUUUAAAAAAAUUAUUUUUGAUAUCAGUGCAUCAAAAUGAUCUGAAAACACCAAAAAAAUAUAUUAAUUUGAAAUAAAAAAAAAUUGUUUUUUACCAGUAAAUCAAAGUGUUUUUUACCUCAUUUUUCCUUGAUUAAUUCUAACUACGAAACAGCUACUGCACCAACAAGAUGGAAAAGGCUCACCAAGAUGUUCUCUUUGAAAAGAUUCUCAAUGAGUCGUUGACAUCUCAUACUUGUCUAAAAAUUUUAAUCUUUUUUUGGAAAAGAUUCUCAGUGAGUCUGUCUCCUGGCUUAUUGAUCAACACUUUUAUCAUAUUGUGAACAAACAUGUCAAUUUCCAGAAUUUUAUUGAGUAGGAUGACUGUAUAGAAUUACUCUGAUUUAUCAACACAUAUCAAAUUCUUGCUGCUGCUGAGGAAGAUAUCCUGCACUUAGCCAUCAUAGAGGGUAGCAAGGUUUUGUGUUGAUGGUAAUUACACUGACUCAUCGUCUAUCAUCUAGAAUUCAAUUUUAAAAAAUAUUGCAAGAAAUGUUUUUUUUCCUAAAUACAUCGAUCGGGUGUGGAUAGAUUGAUUACAAAGCGACUUCCUAAAAAGUCUUGGUCUUAAUAUGCAAAGAUGAUCCAAGUAUGCCAUAUAUUAUUUUUUUAAAAUAAAACCCACAUAUCUAGUCCACGCAAAGGUACUCGAAUAUGGAUUUGUAAAAAUAAAAAUGAAUAUUUAUACGAAAUUGAAUUGUGCAAAUAAAACCCACAGAUCUAGUCCAUGAUCUACGGCUCCUCCAGAGUUCCGUAGUGGUGUCUUUCUCAACUAUUCUUUAAAUAAAAUGUUUGGGAUGUGAGAAAUCUUGUGCCUAUCUUCACCCCUCUCCUCCUUCCCGUAACGUUUCCUUAGAGAAUUUAUGUAGAGGCGCUGUCAAAACAUAGGCCGGUAGUGCUCUCAACAAUGGGCAUUUGAGAAUUCUAAACUCACAAGUUGUGGCAUGAUGAAUAUUGAAGUCGUGGUGGAAUCUUCUUCUCCCACUCUCCUUUCAAUCCCAUCCCACUCUUCUAGUUCUUUGAGAUGCCAAAUGCUGAGUUUUUUCAAUUUAGGGAAAGGAGAGUGGUAGUUUUUUCAAUUGGGGCAAUACUCUUCCAAUUCUCUUUCACUAAUAUUUAUUGGUGGAAAAAAUCACUGAUAGUAGUUUUAAAACACUCAAAGAAAAUAAAACAUAUUGUUUUAUUUCAACAACAAGAAGCUUACAAUAAUUAAACAAAAGCUUUUAAUACACACCCUCUUUUUCUCUCUAGUGUUCAUCUCUUAUCUUUCCCACACACAAUUACAUAAACUUACCUAUCUAUUUAUACACAAAUUAAAAGUAAAAAAAAAAAAAUCAAACUUCAAGUGUGAAGGCGGCUGGUGGCUAAACAGUGGGGUCCUUUUGUAUUUUGUCAAAAGAGAUGAAAUUAUAAUCAAUGAUGAUGAUAUAUAUAUAUAUAUAUAUAUAUAUAUAUAUAUAUAUAUAUAAACUACUAUGUGCAUUCUAUAAUUUAGUUAUAUAAUACAAUAGAUCUUUACAAUUAGUGAUUUCAACUUACCAAUAGAGAAAUUAUAGUAGAUCUUUACUAUGAUAUAUUCAAAAUAAAUAAAUAAAACAGGUAUACUUCAACACGCAUAUUAUACAUACACUUCUUUUUUAAAAAUUAAUCAUAAAAAAUUGAUUAGUUAUUUAUUAUAAAAAUCAGACCUGUAAGUUAUAUCUAAAUCAUUGAAAAUAGUAAAGGUAAACUAAUUAGAAGAGACAAUGUAUUUCAAAUUAGUUAAUUUAUAUAGAAUUAUUUUAGUUACUAAAUUAAAAAAUUCAAAUUUUUAUAUCACUUGGAAUACAUAAGGUGGAUUUAAUCCACAAAAUCGAUGGGUGAUAACCUCUAAGAUAUCGAUGGGUACAUAUAUGGUGGAUUUAAUCCACAAAAUCAAUAAGAGACCAAUCGGCUAGCUCCAAAAUCAAACCAUCUCCACCUCAUUCAAACACGAUUUAAAAUAAUCAACACCACCUUUUUAUACAAUGUGGGAUUAAUGAGGAUAUAAAUCCAAGGCUCCAACAUCCAAAGUCUCAAUCUUAGAUUUAUUAGCUAGUAUAGCAACGCCUCAUUGGCAAGAACCCAAAUCACUAAGCUCAAAUUACUAAUAAAAAUUAUAAAUUUUCAGAUAAUAUUUUUAAUAUUUAAUCUUUCUAGCAAUUGAUGAUAGCAAUUGCAAAUGAAUAGAGGAGGAAGCAUCGAGAUCAUUGGCUUGUUUGAAGGCAAAUGGACCCUUUGAUCGUUAGAUGAUGCAUCUAAAUGAGGCUCCACAUUAUAAAAGCGUAAUUAGGUGGCACGCGCUAUCCCACAAACUCACCUUAGAUUUUCAAAAUAAAAUUAGAUGGAGGAUCCAUGUCUAUUUGGGUCCUCCCUAGACAGGACCCCAACAUAUUCGGGUCCAGUAACGACCAGGUCCAAGUCUAGCGUUGGGCUAGGUUGGGUAGGACCCAAGGUUAUUUGGGUGUACCUGGCAGAAUCCAAGAUUGUUUUUGAGUCCUGCAACUAAUAAUUAUAUGUAAUUUCUAAAUGAAACUAAAUGUAAAAUUAAAUAUAAUUUGAUAAAAUUAUUAUAAACAUUUGGUAAAAUUAGUAAAUGAUAUAACAUUUUCUUUCAAAUUCAUCAAUUAUUUAAAUAUUAAGUACAAAAAAUACUCUUAUGAAUUUUGAUAAAAAUAAUAAUAUUUAUAAUACAACUGAUAACAUUUUUAGUAUUAAAUUAUUAAUUAAUAUAAAUAAUAUUAUUUAUAACACCAAAAAUAAUAAUAUUUUUGAGAUUAAUACUAUUAAUUAGACUAAAAAAUAAUAUUAAUAAAACAAAUAAUAAUAUUUCUAAUACUAAUACUAUUAAUUAUACUAAAAAUAUAUAUUAAUAAAAAUAUAAAAUACUCUUAAUAUUAAUUAUACUAAAAAAAUAUUAAUAAAACAAAUAAAUAUUUUAAUACUAACUUGUAAUUAUACUAAAAAUAUGGGCAGCCCAAGCGCUAAGUGAUGCUUGGACUACACUCAAGAGAAAUCAUAUUAUUUUAAAAUAUUUGUCCACUAAUUGCUAUUGAAUUUAAAAUAAAUAUACUUUUAAAACUAAUAUAAAGUUACCAAUAGUCGAUUUGAUAGCUGCUUGCAUAAAAUCUCAUUGAAUUUGGCCAAUGGUUUUUUAGAAUAAAGUAAAAAAAAAGUUAUUUCAAAACAUAACCAAAGUAGUUUUAGUUAUUUGUCAGAAACUAGUAUAUCCCAUAAAAAUCAGAGUUUUGGAUGAAAUAAAAUCAAUUCUAAAAUCAAACGCCGAUUGAAGCUUCAACGCAUUUGUGAACUAGAGAAUUUAAUUAUUAAACUCGUUUGUUUCGCGUUCAAAAAUAUUUUAAAAUUAUUUUAUUUUUUAUUUAUUUUUUUGUUUUUUAAAUUAAUAAUUUUUUUAGUAUAUUUAGAUCAUUUUAAUGUGUUUAUAUAAAAAAUAAUUUAUAAAAAAUAAAAAAAAUUAUUAUUUUAAUAUAUUUCUAAUAAAAAAUACUUUGAAAAAUAAUUAUAAUAAUACUGUCACACAUGCUGUUUAAUGUUUGUUCAAAAAUUGUGCUUUUUAAAAUAUGCAUUCUAACGCAAAGAAAGCAUAUAAAACACAUCAAAGUUGCAAAAGUACGUAGUUUUAAUUAUUAGCAAAAGUAUUCUAAAAUAUGAAAAGAUAGGUUUAAAUACCCUAAAUAUCCGUAAAUAACUAGAAAAAAAUUAAUAAAACUAAAAUCCAAAAUUAUCAAGGCAAAAAUCUAAAAUAUGGUCUGAAACUUCAAAGGCAAUUUUUUUAGAGUGGCAUUUGGAGAAUUUAAGUAAGGAAAAAGCUUCACGUGAGCGAGAUAAUAUCAUCUUAGAUUAAUUCUUUAACAUGUAAAAUUUAAGUCUAAUUCAAUAAUUAAAUAAAAAAUUACCUCUUCCUGCCGGUCUUAACUAUUCUUUAAAUAUAAACAUAUGAAUUACAUAUUAUUUUAUAUAUGUUGAGAGAGAGAGAGAGAGAGAGAGAGGAUGUAUACUAUAUAUAUCACAGCUGCCUUUGAUAGAAUAAAUGGUAAGUAGGAAAUACAAUCCAAAGUCAACAUUAUACAGUAAAGAGGUAUAUGAAACAUACCUCGUCCUGCCUGUCCUACAGAUUAUGGUAAGUCGGAAAUCGAAUUACAGUAAAGAGGUCACAUAGAGUAAAUAGUAAGGCUUACAUAUUAUUUACACUCAACCUUAGCAAACACCAAAGCAAAUAAUUAAUACACUCAGAACCAAAUCUUUUACCGUUAAGAAUUAACACUGGUGGAAGAAUUUAUCAUCAAAAUAAAUGUUUGGGAUGUGAGAAAUCUUUUGCCAAUCUUCACCCAUCUCCACCUCCUUCCCGUAACGUUAGAUUGGGGCAACCAUAUGCGUAGAUCCUGUAUAGGCGCUGCCAAAACAUAGUCUGGUAGUGCUCUCAACAACGGGCACCAACGAAUUGUCAACUGUCGAAGUUGUGGCAUAAUGGAUAUUAUUGAAGUUGUGUUGGCAUCUUCUUCUCCCACUCUCCUUUGAAUUCCAUCCCACUCUUCUACUUCUUCGAGAUCCCAAAUCUCAAGUUUUUUAAUUUGGGGAAAGCAGUGACCCUUGCAAUUUCUCCUUCCUUAAUACUGGCAUUCUCAUCUUUUUCUAUACCUAAAAAUCCACCAUCCAGCCUUCUCACCUUCAAAAGUACCAGGUGUUCAAGGUUGGGCAAUCUUCCCAACGGAGGCAAGAACUCCACGUUUUCACAAUAACGGAGUGUCAGCACCUGUAAUCUGGUCAAUGUCAUCAUCCAAUUUGGCAAUUCCAACCCUCCGUAACAAUAUAUGCUUAGAUCUUCCAAGUCUGACGGAGGCUGCAAAGCUUCAAUUAAAGAGCCUUCAUGCUCUGGCAACACUGUUUUCUCUCCGAAGAAAUUCAAUACCAAACGAAACAGGCGCUUCUUAUUCUUGAGUUGUGCUUCUGCAGCGUCACUCGCAUCUUCUUUACCUCCUCCUAGAUUCCGUAUCUGAAGACUCCCUCCAAUGUGAUUUAAGUUUUUUAAUUCUCUUAGAUUAGCUGCUUUACUUUCAUUCUCACCACCACCACACACAGUAAACACAUCUAAUGUACCAACAGGUGUGUGGCUCAAGUGGUGAAGGGGGCAGCUCUCCUUUCAUCGAACCCAGGUUCGAAUCCCAGUGGGAGUGGGGCUGGAGAGUUUGCUCUCUUCCUAUUUCUCUUGGGUCCUCCCUGUGCGGUAUCCCUGUCACCCCCGCGGUGUCUUACCUGCUCACUAGGGCUUGCAGGAUGUUCAGUGGGCCGUGGGAUUAGUCGUGGUGCGCGUAAGCUGGCCCGGACACCCACGUUAUCAAAAAAAAAAAAAAAAAAAAAAAAACACAUCUAAUGUUUAGUUAUAUAAUUGAUCAUCGUGGCUACAAAAUGAAGUGGAACUAAUAAUUAAUGGAGUGGAAUACUAAAUAAAAUGAAUUGCUAUGUGUAUUCUAUAAUUUAGUUAUAUAAUAUAGGCAGAUAUGUACAAAUUAGUCAUUUCAACUUAUCAAUAAAGAAAUUAUAAUAGAUUUUCACCGUGGUAUGAUCGCAAUAAAUAAAAUAAAAUAGAUAUAUCUCACAGCAUUAAUAAUUUUUUAGUUUUUGUUAAACAAUGUCAACAUAUAUAUAUAUAUUAUACAUACACUCAUUUCUUUAAAAAUAAUUAUAAUAAAAUUAAUUAGUUAUUUAUUAUAAAAACCUGACCUAUGAGUUAUGUCUAAGCUGUUAAAAAUAGUAAAAAUAAAAUAAUUUGAAAAUAGAAUUAUUAAUUAAUUUAUAUCAAGUUGUUUUAUUUAUUAAAUUAAAAAAUCCAAGUUUUAUAUCACCUAGAUUACUUAUGUUGGAUUUAAUCCAUAAAAUUGAUGGGUAUCAUCUCUUAUAUAUGAAUCGAUGGGUAUCAAGUUACAUGCCAUCUUGCAAAUUAGAAUAAUAGACCACUCGACUGGCUCCAAAAUCAAACCAUCUCCACCUCAUUCAACACGAUUUAAAAUAAUCAACACCACCUUUUUAUACAAUGUGGGAUUGAUGAGGAUAUAAAUCUACAGACUCCAACAUCCAAAGUCUCAAUCUUAGAGUUCUUAUCUGGUAUAGUAACGCCUCAUUGGCAAUAACCCAAAUCACUAAACCCUAAAUCACUAAUAAAAAUUACAAAUUUACACCGAAUUUGAACAAAUUUCUACCAGCCGAUGUCACUAAACUCAAAUUACUCCUAAAAAUCUCAAUAUAAACCCAUUAACUACUAGACCAACAACUCAUUGGCUAGAAUCCACGUUGCUUUUCCACAACAAUCAUCAGCUUCUUCAAUUAGGAUGCUACAAGCCCUUGUCUAUAUACUAGCUUAAAUUGCAACAACCUUUGAUUCCGAGAGAAGUUUGGCCUGAUCCAACGGUAGUCAAUGCGUGCUCAAUCUGUACUAGCUUUCUGGUAGGACUGAAAGUAGUGAGAGAAAAGGAGUACUGGCUAUCACCCAUGGUUUAUUGCUUGAAGACGCAGAGAGGAAAAACUGCGAAUGCGAGCGUGUGGGAGAGAAAGGCAAGGAUAUUUACUUGGGGUUUGAACUUUGCUUUUCUUGUUGGAGAAGGAGGAGUUUUCUUACGAGGGCUUUUACAAUGGAGUAUUUUGGGCUUUUAUGACGGCAGGUUGGUUCUCUUUACAUUGAGCUCAAUGAAGGCUUUAAUUUUUUAAACUUAACUUUAUCCGGGUCAGUUCACGGGAGAAGUUUAAUUUUUUUUUUUUUAAGAAAAUAAAAUAACAUUAUUUUUAGUACUUUUUUAAAAUGAUAUUUUACCUGAGUCCACAGGCGAUGUAUAAAGUUUUUUUUAUUUAAAAUAAUAUUUUUUUUUUAUUUUAAUAUUUACUUACUAUUUGUAUACUAAAACAGUAAAACAUGUGAGAUUUUCACUUUAUAUUUGUUACUGUGCAAAAUUUUAUUUUUUAGUUUAGUCCUCAAACUUUAUUUUUGAACUAUCAAGUCCUAUUUAAAAAACAAUUGAUUUUAAAUUCUGAUAAAAAAUUUGGAUUGGAAGAGAGGAACUGAAAUGAAAAACACGAUAGAUAUGGGUAACGCACCUUAAAUUUUUAAAACAUUCUCUUUGGUCUUCCAACUUAAACAAUCACACAAAUUAUAUAAUUUUGGUACCUCAAAAUUGUUCCAAUUCCAUUUUGGUGCGAAGAUUUAUUUUUGUUAUUUUCUAGUUCCUAAUUAAGAGAGGAGAGAAAGAAAGGGGUCACUAGAUUCCAAUAAUAAAAAGAGAAACUUGUCGUUGACACCAACUUAAACCACUAAAAUAAGGGAUCUUUAUGUCAAAUUAUUAGGGGAGUUCCUAUUAGAUGUUUUUGUAACUUAAAAGUUCAUGAAAAAAAGGAUCUAAACUCGGGUUAAUUUUUUUUAUUUUAGACUGUGUUUGGUUUUUUAGGCAGUUUUUUGGAUCUAGUAUGGUUUCCCGAUCCAAGUACCUAGGGUCUGGCAUAGUUGCUAUAAAAAUAUAACUUUAAAGAAUAUAAUUAAAAACAAAUAAAGUGACGUGAUUAGUUAAAAACUAAAAAUAAUAAUAAAAAAAAAGACUUAACCUCAUUUUUUUGUUGUUCAGAAGGCUUCUUUUAAAUAAUAUUAAUUUUUUUUAUGAGUUUAAUUUUCAGAGAGGUUUUCUAGUGUAUUUAUGGUUUUGUUUGUCUUUUAUAUAAAUAAAUUAUAUUUUGAAAAUAACAAAAUAUUUAUUUUCAGAUAAUAUUUUUAAUAUGUAGUCUUCGUAGUGAUUGAUGAUGCCAAUUGUAAAUGAAUGGAGGAGGAAGCAUCAAGAUCGUUAGCUUGUUUGAAGGCAGAUAGACCUUUGAUCAUUAGAUGAUGCCUCUAAACGAGGCUCCAUAUUAUAAAGGCAUAACAAAGAGAGGAUGAGAGAAAUAAUUAUAGACCAGUUAGGUGGUUUGUGCUACAUCGCGGGCUCACCUUUAAUUUCUAAAAUAAAACUGGGUGAGUACCCAAGUCUAUUUAGGUCCUUUUCAAAUAGGAGCCAAGCAUAUUUGGGUUCUAUCGCGGCCAAGCCAGGUAGGACCUAAGGUUAUUUGGGUCAUGUACCUGGCAGGACCCAAGGUUAUUUUUGAGUCCUACAACUAAUAAUUUGUAUUUAAUUUUUAAAUAAAACUAAAUGUAAAAUUAAGUAUAAUUUGAUAAAAUUAUUAUUACAAUACAUUUGGUAAAAUUAAUAAAUGAUAUAACAUUUUCUUUCAAAUUCAUAAAUUAUUUUAUUAAUAAUAUUAAUUACAAUAAAAUAUACUCUUAUAAAUUUUAAUAAAAAUAAUAAUAUUUAUAAUACAACUGAUAAAAUUUUUAGUAUUAAUAUUAUUAAUUAAUAUAAACAUAAUAUUAUUUAUAACACCAAAAAUAAUAAUAUUUUUGAGAUUAAUACUAUAAAUUAGACUAAAAAAUAAUAGUAAUAAAACAAAUAAUAAUAUUUUUAAUACUAAUACUCUUAAUAUUAAUUAUACUAAAAAAAACUAUUAAUAAAAAAAAUAAUAUUUCUAAUACUAAUAUUUGGAAUUAUACUAAAAGUAUGUACGGGCAGCCCAAGCGUUAAGUGGCGCUUGAACUGCACUCAAGAAAAAGCAUAUUAUUUUAAAAUAUUAUUUGUCCACUAAUUGCUAAUAUAAAUACACUUUUAAAACUAAUAUAAAGUCACCCAGAGUCAAUUUGAUAGCUGCUUGCAUAAAAUCUCAUUGAAUGUGGCCAAUGUUUUUUAGAAUAAAGUGAAAUAAAAAGUUAUUUCAAAACAUAACCACAGUAGUUUUUAAUUAUUGGUCUAGAAACUUUAGUAUAUCUCAUAAAAUCCAUGAGUUUUGGAUGAAAUAAAAUCAAUUCUAAAAUCAAACUCCGAUUGAAGCUUCAACUGCAUUUGUGAGCUAGAAAAUUUAACUUAUUAAGUUAGGUUUGUUUUUGCAUUUUAAAAGCGUUUUUAAAAAUUUUAAAUUUAUUUUAUUUUUUUCUUUGCUUUAAAUUAUUUUUUUUUUGUGUUUUUAGAUCAUUUUGAUGCGCGAAUAUCAAAAAUAAUUUUUAAAAAAUAAAAAAAAUAUUAUUUUGAUAUAUUUCUAAGUAAAAAUCAUUUUAAAAAGUAAUCACAACAAUAUUUUCACACAAUCUCUUCAAAACUUGUGCUUUUUAAAACAUGCAUUCAAACGCAAAGAAAGCAUAUAAAACACAUCAAAGUUGCAAAAGUAUGUAGUUUUAAUUAUUAGCAAAAGGGUUUAAAUACCCUAAAUAUCCGUAAAUAACUAGAAAACAAUUAAUAAAAAAAUAAUAAAACUAAAAUCCAAAAUUUUCAAGGAGAAAAUCUAAAAUAUGGUCUGAAAUUUCAAAGGCAGCUUUUUUAGAGUGGCAUUUGGAGAAUUUAAGUGAGGAAUAAGCUUCACGUGAGCGAGAUAAUAUCAUCUUAGAUUAAUUUUUUUAACAUGUAAAAUUUAAGUCUAAUUCAAUAAUUAAAUAAAAAAAAUUACCUCUUCCUGCCUGUCUUAACUAUUCUUUACAUAUGAACAUAUGAAUUACAUAUUAUUUUAUGUUGAGAGAGAGAAAGAGAGAGAGAGAGAGAGAGAGAGAGGAUGUGAGAGAGAGAGAGGGGUGUAUAUAUAUAUCACAGCUGCAUUUGAUAGAAUAAAUGGUAAGCAGGAAAUACAAUCCAAAGUCAACAUUAUACAGAUAUUUGACUCACAAUAAAUCAUCCAUACUCUUAUAAAAAAUAAAGAUGGGUAAACUCUUAAUUAGGCCUUGCUGCUGAAUUUUGUUGUUGAUUUGUAAUUUAAUUAUUGUUGAAGAUUUUUUGUGUUGGCAACCCAAACUAUCAUUGUGUUGGGUUUGGAUAACUUUAUUUGGAUUUAAUCUCCAAAAUCGAUGGGUAUCAUCACUUAUAGAUGAAUGGUUUAGCUUCUCUCAUUUUUUUGGAUUUAAUCCACUGAAACUGAGGUUUAAGAAUUUCUUGGAUUUAAUCCACUGAAACAGUUGCUUGAUCAAGAUCAUUGGCUUGUUUGAAGGCAGAUAAAGGCUUAAAAAAGAAGAAGCAAAUAUCAUCUUAGUUGAAAUUUCAAAGGCAAUUUUUUAGAGUAAAGAGGAAAUAAUUAAUACACUCAAAGCAGGUUCUAAAGAGUUCUGUCUUUCUCACCAAACAUGCAAAUAAAUCUUUGGGAUGUGAGAAAUCUUUUGCCAAUCUUCACCCAUCUCCUCCUUCCUACAGCUGUAACGUUUCCUUAGAAUGGGGCAACCCCUUAUCCCCAAUGCCUGCAGAGGCGCUGCCAAAACAUAGUCUGGUAGUGCUCUCAACAAUUGGCAAUAUUCAAUUCCCAAGUACUGAAGUUGUGGCAUAAUGGAUAUUAUUGAAGUUGUGUUGGCAUCUUCUUCUCCCACUCUCCUUUCCUUCCCACUCUUCUACUUCUCCGAGACCGUCCAUCCAAAGUUUUUUUAAUUUGGGGAAAGCAGUGACCCUUGCAAUUUCUCCUUCAUUAAUACUGGCCUUCUCAUCUUUUUCUAUACCUAAAAAUCCAGCAUCCAACCUUCUCACCUUCAUUGAGCUCAAUACCAGGCUUUCAAGGUUGGGCAAUCUUCCCAACGGAGGCAAGACCUCCACGUUUUCACAAUCACGGAGUGUAAGCUUCUGUAAUCUGGUUAAUGUCAUCAUCCAAUUUGGCAAAUCCAACCCUCCGUAGCUAUACAUGGUUAGAUUUUCCAAGUCUGACGGAGGCUGUAAAACUUCAAGUAAAAUGUCGUUCUCCCGGUUGAAGUCAAAAUCCAAUUGCAAACAAAGCAGGCGCUUCUUAUUCUUGAGUUGUGCUUCUGCAGCGUCACUCGCAUCUUCUUUACCUCCUCCUAGAUUCCGUAUACGAAGACUCCCUCCAAUGUGAUUUAAGUCUUUUAAUUCUCUUAGAUUAGCUGCUUUACUUUCAUUCUCACCACCACCACACACAGUAACACAUCUAAUGUUUGAAGACAUGUUAUCCUCUCUACUCCCUUUGGUAUGAAGGCCACACCUGAAAGAACAACCCGGAGAUGCCUCAAUUUGAUAAGUUUUCCAAUCGCAUUAGGCAAUUCCUUGAGAGAAGCACACAGAGUAACGUCUAGGGAUUGCAGAUUGCAUAAAUCACACAUGGUUUCUGGCAGGGACUCCAACUGAUAACAAGAUGCCACAUUGAGGUGUCUCAAAUGUAUCAAAUUCCCUACCUCGUUUGGUAUUUCUUUGAUUGAAGACCUUGUCAAAUUCAAUGACCUGAUGCAUGUCAACUGCUUGAACAAAUCAGGCAGUGCAACUCCAAGCGAAGGGUCUCUAGUGUCCAUCAAGAGGCUGCGAAGACCUUUUGCUUUGUGAAUGGACUUGGGAAACGAGCUCUCCUCUGACAGCAUCAUGCUUAAAUGACGAACCCUUUCAAUUGAAGUCUCCACUGUUGCUUUUCCAAGUUUACUGGCAUCCACUGUUAGACAUUCAUUUUUUGUCAUAUAUUGGGAAAAAUCAUGCACUAUAUCAUGCAUCUUGAAUUUCAUUCCUUCACACCAAUCCAUCUCAAAAUCUUGGAAGAAAGAACGCGCUGCUAAGACUUGAAAGUACUGCUCUCCUACACCCGAAGUCUCCUUGAGGUAACCUUGAGCUAUCCACAUCUUCACCAAUUCAUAUUUUCCCAUCUUGUAGUCUUUUGGAAACAUGGCACAAUACAAGAAACAUCGUCUUACCACAGAAGGUAAAUCGUAGUAACUCAAAAGCAAAGGUAUAAAUAUGCGUCUUUCAACCUGAUCUCUAUCAACCUCAUCUAGCCUCCACAGUUCGCUAGAUAAAACACGUUCCCACUCUUCUCUUGUUAUUUUAGACUGCAUUAGACCGCCUAAUACCUUGGCAGCUAGAGGGAAGCCCUUGCACUUGUUUGCAAUUUUAUCUCCGAUAUCUGUCAAUCUUUCGCACUCAUCUUCGCUUCUUUCCUGGAAUGCCACAUGAUUGAAUAUUGAACUGCAUAUCUCAUCGGACAAUUUCUCAAUGUUGAUCCGGUGGUCAGUUCCCAUCAUCGUUGCCACAGCGUCCUUACGAGUGGUCACUAGAAUUCUGCUUCCUCGUGCACAGCCUGUGAGAGAUGGUUUCAGUUGUUCCCAUUGUCCAUGAUUUUCUGUCCAGACAUCAUCAAGGACAAGAAGGAACCUCUUUCCCUUAAUGGAUUCAGAAACCCUUCGCAAAAGGGAUUGCAAUCCUACCAAAUCAGAUGCCCUCCCUUCAAGCUCCUCAAGGAUACCUUUGGCUAUUCUAACCUCAUCAAAUGGUUCUGAAACACACACCCAUAUCUUUUUCUCAAAAUGAGCCGUAACCUCAGCAUCAUUAAAAGCUAGUUGGGCGAGAGUUGUUUUUCCAAUUCCGCCCAGCCCUACUACAGAGAUGACAUCCACGUCCCGUGCUUCUUGACUACUUUCAGCCAGCAACUUGCUUACAACAUUUCUCUUUUCACCAUCUCGACCAAUCACGCUUGAUUCAUCAAACAAAGGAGGUAGUUGUUAGUCGCUGGAGUUCAUCAGUGGCUUUGUACAGAUCAAAGCCAUACUUAGCUCUCUGUUUGGCAAUGUCAUCCACUUUUUCACAAACUUCUUUGAUCUUCAGGGCAAUGCCGCGACGUCGAACCACUUGAUUGAAACAAAAGCAAGGAGAUCCCAGGAAGGAACACCGUAUCUUCUGUCGGCUGUGAGUAUUUUCUUCAGCUUCCUCCAUUUUCCAUCUAAGAAUUGCAGUGCUCCAUUCAUCUAGCACGUCAUUCAUAUCAUAACAUGCAUCUUUGAGCUUGUCUACCCAAUAUCUUACAGCCUUAUCCUUAACUUGUUUUCUAUCUGCAUCUUCAAGGACAGACUGGAUAUCAAGGAGAUUGCUUUUCAGCCUGUCGACUUGUUUCUUCACACCCACUACUAGGUUCACCUCUUCUUGUACCUAUUAGUGUACAAAAGAUAAGGAAGUUCAGGCAGAGGAAACAUUUCUAUGAUUUCACUGCAAAUUUUUAAUUUUAAUUUUUUGUAAUUAAUAGAUUAAUAAUUUUUUUUAAUCUUUUUUUCGCAGUAGCUGACACGUACAGUGAAAUGGAUUUGCUAUAUUAAAAUAUAUAUUAAAAUCCUAUAUAUUAAAGAUAAUAAUAUUUCUUUUUAUCAUCAUCAUGAUGAUAUCUGCCUGCACUCUGCUACUAUACAAGAAGGAAGAAACCUAUAUAUAACAUAAGCUUGUUGGAUCAAAGAAACAUAGAGAAUGAAAGGAUCUGUAUUUGUUGGUAUUUGUAAAGUCUAUAGUUUUAAAGUGAAAAAUAUUCUUCCUUCAUAACACUCACUAAUUAUUUUAACAUUUGAUUGAUUAUUUUACAGUUUAGUGAGAGGAUCGACAACUACUACUCCUUUUUCCUUCUAAGGAUAUUUGUUUUAGAUUAUUUCCGGAAAUAUGAAAAACAAUAAAACAAUAAAAAGAAAUUUCUUUAAUAAAAUCCAAAUCUAGAUCUGAGGAUUUGAUAUUUUAUUUUAUUUUUCUAAUAAAGGAAGAAAAAGAGACUUCAUUUUUAUAUUUCUUAUUCAUGUAAGGGUUAAUUAGAUCGUUGCAAAUUUUACAGUUAAGCAGUAGUUUGCUGAUUGAAAUGACUGUAAAUGGAUCCCAAUUGGAAACUGUCAUAAUUGAACUGCGAGCUCCGUUUUAUGUUUCUUCAGAACAUCAGUUUCCAUCGUGAUGCCUUCUUCCUUCAUCAAAAAGUGGGCAAAAUCAUAGGAGUAUGUGUCGCCUCUUCAACUUUAAAGAGUCCUCCUUCUUUUCUUGAAAAUCCUGGAAAAAAAGCUAAGAUUUUGAAGUACUCCUUACCAGCCAGCUCCAUUUGAUCUGUAUGGAAACGGACAGCUCUCCAUCAAUCAGCAACGGAGGGGUAGGGAGGUGAAGAAGAGAGGGAAUAGAUGAAAUCCCUAAUAGUAGCUUGGUGUUUUUUGUUCCAAUGACCAAACCAGAUAAUGUACGAGUUGACAGGUGCAGCCAGAACAGGCCCCUAGAAAAGCAACUGAAGGUCUACUACAUCAGAUGACCCUUCAUAGUUCUUGGCCCGGUUGAAUAGGUCGUCUAGACAAACAAAACAGAGAGAGCAAGAGUACAUUGUGUAGCAUAAGCUUAUUAUGCAUUUAAGUCUUUAGACUUUUUUUAUUAUUAUUAUUAACGUAGGUGUCCAGGUCAGCUUCCGCGCACCUUGAUUAAUCUCACGGGCACAUUGUCAGAAAUUACAGCAAGAAAUUCUGUAAUUAUUGUAAGAAAGAAGGGCAUGUAAUCAAGGAAUGUCGUCUGCGACCACAAAAUCGACAAGGAUUUACUGUGCAGUCGAAAUUGGGGGCUGCUUUUAUGGCCGCCGAAGCCGUGUCCUCACCAUCGACACUGGAAUCUUCAUCGUCGGUGAGCUCUUCGUCGAGCACUCUCACUCCCGAGAUGGUGCAGUAGAUGAUAAUAUCUACCUUCUCUGCACUCGGGAUUUCUGGUAAGAAAAAUAAACUUAACUUUCCCUUAGAUUCAGCACAUAAUAAACAAUGGUUAAUGGAUUUGGCAUCGUCUAAUCACAUGACCAACAGUGAAAAUGGGUUGUGUAAUGUGCUAAAAUACAUGGGUAAUUAGCAUAUACAGGUAGCAAAUGGUGAUAAUCUGCCAAUUUUGUCGAUUGGUAAUUUGGGGUCUUACUUCAAUAAUAUUUUUGUGUCACCAAAAUUAUCAACAAGUUUACUCUCUGUUGGUCAAAUGGUAGAAAAUAACUGUGAAAUUCACUUUGAUCAUCAUGGUUGUUGUGUGCAGGAUCAAGUGUCGGGGGAAGGUAAUCGCGAAGGGGCCUAAAGUGGGACGUUUAUUUCCAAUACAAUUUUCUAUUCCUAGUAUUAAUUCUUGUGCUUAUUCUACUCUCAUUCAUAAUCCUCAUUUUUGGCAUAAGAAAUUAGGGCAUUCUAAUUCUAAUGUAUUGACUUAUCUUAUGAAACAUGGAUAUUUGGGGAAUAUAAACUCUUUUUCAACAGAAUUUUUGGAUUGUAGUUCUUGCAAAUUGGGUAAAAGCAAAGCAUUAUCAUUCCCUUCACAUGGUAGUUGUGCUUCUAAAUGUUUUGAAAUUAUUCAUACUGAUGUAUGGGGCAUAAGCCCUGUUAUCUCUCAUGCUAAGUAUAAAUAUUUUGUCACGUUUGUUGCUACCUAAUUUUUGAUAAAUUUUCAGAAAAAUCAAAAAUAGCAAAAAAAACAAAGAAAAACCCAAAAAUAUAUUUUUGAUGUAUUUGCAUCGUUUUUAGCAUUUUCAAUGCCAUCUCAAAAGAAUUUAAAUUUUUAAAGGAAUUUUGGAACGCGUUCAACUUUUAACGCGUAAAAUUUUAUGAUCACUGAUUUUUAUUUUUGAGUUGACGGUGAUAUUGCUCGCUUUCGAAAACACAAAAAAAGAGAGAAAAUCAAAAUUUAAGAAAAAAAAGAGGAAAAGUUGAGGGACCAUUGUGAUUUUGGCCAUGCCACAUUUCUCCUAUAAAUACUAAGCUACAGUAAUGAACCAAGGGGCGAAAAAUAGACACAGGGAGAAAAAUGGUUUCACGGGGGAGAAAUUUACAUGGGGGGAAAGGCAAGUAGAAAAAAACCCUAAAGCCAAAAAAAAAAACCUAGAAACUAAAAAAACCCUUUCUUCCCCGGCAGCCGCCCUUGGCCUUUGAAAAAAACCUAGAACUAAUGAUUUUCUUCCUUAGCCACAACGCUGACCUCUCUUUUUGAAAAAGGGAGGAACAGACCGCCGCUGCAGAGUCUUUGAAAGGAAAAAGUCACCUGGCUAGGCGUUUCAAACAGCCCCGCCUCUCCUCUCUCCUUUUCUUCUCCCGAAACUAGCCAAAACUGACCCUCUCACUCUCAGCACAAAGCAGCCGCCCCCUUUACCCCCAUCUUCUUCUCCCUCAACCGACAGAUCUCACCCUCCAAUAGCAACCCCUCUUGCACGAAAAAACCCAGAGAAACCGUCCCUAAGCUCUCCAUUUUCCCUGCAGGAGGAGAGAAACCCACCGGACACAAGCCUUCUCCAGGUCUCCCCCGGAGCCGCCGCCCCCCAUCGUCUUGGAUUUGUUUCUCUCCCGAGACCAGCCGGCCACUCAUUUUUUCCCUUGGCUUGCUAAACAAAGCGGAGAAACUGGAGAGCAUCAGACUGACCUCUCUCUCCCUCGGCCGACCACCAUCAACCGGUCAACAGCAGCAUCUUCCCUUCUCCUGCAGCUCGUUACAGAGACAAUGAGAAGGGAGGCCAGAGGAUAGUGAAGAAGGGGCAGAAAACCGAAGCUUGGAUGGGCGCCGAUCUCGCAACCAUGGCAGCGGUGGACAACACCACCGUUGCAGAAACGAAAUGGGAGGAAGGGAAGUUGCUGAUCCAGCCAUCCACACGCCUGGUCUGUGGGCGGCGCGUGUAACGCCCAGCUUCAGAUUCGGCAGAUUUGAAGAAAAGAGAGGAGAAGCAGAUCCGAAAACAGUGAUUGAAAAAUAACUAAAAUCAGCUGGCUUUUUGUGCUUUGAUUUUUCUUUGCAGGUCACCACCGGUGGAAGAGGGGAUGAGGCCGUUGAAGACCCCCUGUGUUGUGUGGAUUUUUGCGGCGGCGCGUGGAUGCACGCGCCGCUACUGUUCAGGCAGCUCCAAAAAUUGUUUUCCUGAAUUUUUGGGACUAUUCUGUAAUUUUCAAUUAUGUGAUGUAAUUUUUGUUUAGUUUUGAAUUUUUUAUUUGUAUGUUGUGAAUUUGAAUGUAACAAAAAAAACAAAAAAAAAAGAAAGAAGAGAAAGGAAAAGAAAAAUAAAUAAUAUAAAGAAAGUUGUGUGUGUGUUUGUUUUUUUAUUUAUGUUAUUGAAUUAUAAAAAUAAAAAAAGGACAAAAAGAAUUAUUUGUUUAAUUUGAAUAUGGUUAAAUAUUUAAGGACAAAUAAAAUUAUGUUAUAUUUUCUAUGAAAGUGUAAGAACAUGUUUUUACACGUAUUCAGGGAUUUAAUAAUUGAUUUAUUAAAGUCUUAGAAUUUGAUUAAUAUUUUAAAUUUUCAAAUCAUAUCAAACCACGAAGCAGCUUAGCUCAGGUAGGGUGCUGUAGGGGUACUAAUACCUUUUCUAGCCACAAUCAGUCCCUUACCCUAGAAUCUCUGACCACGACCAGUAAAUCAUGGUUUUCUAGUAACCCUCUAUUAAAUACUAGGUGGCGACUCUCAAAGAACCAAUCAAGCAAAGACAACGAAAAAUUGCCAAAUCACCGCGUGGGGGACGUGCGACAAUGUUUAUUGAUGAUUUCAGUCGUUUCACUUGGAUAUAUUUUCUUCGAUCUAAGACUGAUUUAUUCUUAACAUUUCAGGCUUUCGUUGUAUUUAUUGAAAAUCAAUUUUCUACUCAUAUUAAAAUACUUUGUUCUGACUCCGGGGGGGAAUAUGUGUCCAAAGAACUUCAGGAAUAUCUCAAAAACAAAGGGAUUCUCUCUCAAAGAUCUUGUCCUUACAUUCCUUAACAAAAUGGAGUUGCUGAGCGUAAGAAUCCUCAUCUUUUAGAUGUUCGCACCUUAUUAAUUGAUUCUUUGGUACCUACUCGAUUUUGGGUAGAAGCACUGUCCACAGUCGUUCAUCUAAUUAAUUGUUUGCCUUCACAAGUACUAAACUUUGCAUCUCCAUACUCUAUUUUAUUUGGUGUUAUUCCUAAGUAUGAUUCUCUCCGUGUUUUUGGGUGUGUUUGUUUUGUUCACUUACCAUCUACUGAACGUAAUAAACUUUUAGCCCAAGCUGCUCGUUGUGCUUUUCUAGGAUACAAUAAUUUUCAUAAAGGAUUUGUGUGUUAUGAUGCAAAUGCUCAUAAAAUUCAUCUCUUGAAAUGUAAUUUUUUUUUUAAAUCAGAAUUUUUUCCCUUCUUAUCCCUCUACAAAAUCCACUCCUAUCCAACUUCCCACAUUUGAUGAUCAUAGUCCAUCUUAUAUCUUUGAAUGUUUUAAGCCAGGAAUUGUAUAUCAAAGACGUCAUCCACCAUCCAUUUUGCCCCUUCCGGACACGAAACCGGCAUCUGAUCAUUCCCCUCAACUAAGACGAUCAACUCGAGUUUCACGUGCCCCAAACAGGUAUGGAUACUAUCAGCAACUACUAUUGAUAGUACUUUUGUGCCUAAGACUUAUGCCCAGGCUUCUACCCAAGACUGUUGGCAACAGGCCAUGAAAGAGGAACUUCAGGCUCUUCAGGAUAAUCACACAUGAGAUAUUGUUUCUUGUCCUACCGGAAUUAAACCUAUUGGCUGCAAAUGGCUAUACGAAAUUAAAGCACGGUUGGUGGCUCUUGGAAAUUGUCAGGCAUAUGGUAUUAAUUAUGAGGAGACAUUUGCACCUGUGGCUAAAAUGACUACCAUACGAACCAUUAUGACAAUUGUUGCUUCCAAAAGAUGGCCACUUCAUCAAAUGGAUGUAAAAAAUGCAUUUUUACAUAGAGACUUGAAAGAGAAUAUUUAUAUGACUCCUCCUUCUGGUAUGUUUACUCACUCAUCCGAUAAAGUCUGCUGGUUGAAACGGUCCCUGUAUGGUCUAAAACAGGCACCCCGGGCAUGGUUUGAAAAAUUUCGCACUACUCUUUAGAAACUUAAAUUUAUUCAGAGCCAAUAUGAUUCCUCUAUGUUUCUUCAGCAAACUACUACUGGUAUUGUUGCUCUUCUGGUAUAUGUUGAUGAUAUUAUCAUUACAGGAUCCGACAUUCCACUCAUUGAGGAUUUACAACAUUCUCUUAACAGUGAAUUUCAUAUGAAGGAUCUGGAACACCUUCACUAUUUCCUUGGUCUACCGGUGCACUCUAUGUCCAGUAGGAUUUCUCUACAUCAGCACAAAUACACCCAAGAGAUUCUUCUUUUGGGCGUUCUUGAAUCAGGGAAUAUCGUUCUUACACCUCUCGAGAUUAAUUUAAAACUUUGUCAUAAUGAUGGUGACCUGUUACCUGAUCCCUCCAUAUACAAGCAGUUGGUGGGCAGUUUGAAUUAUCUAACCAUUACUCGGCCAAAUAUUUCUUUUGUAGUACAACAAGUCAGUCAAUUUUUACAGGCUCCUCGUCAACCUCAUUUAGCUGUUGUCCGAAGAAUUCUUCGCUAUCUUAAAGUCACAUCUGGGCGAGGAUAAUUUUUUCCUGCUGAUAAUUCAUUACAAUUAACAAGUUAUAGUGAUGCAGAUUGGGCAGGGUGCGUGGAUACACGUCGGUCUGUUACUGGGUGGUGUAAGUUUCUUGGAAAUGCUUUGAUUUCAUGGAAAAGCAAAAAGCAAGACCGAAUCUCAAAAUCUUCCAUAGAAUCUGAGUAUCGAGCUAUGUCCUCCGCAUGUUCUGAAAUUGUGUGGCUUCAGGGUUUGCUACGUGAACUUGGUUUUCCUCAGCACACUCCUACACCUCUUCAUGCUGAUAACACAAGUGCUAUUUAGAUUGCUACUAAUCAUGUGUUUCAUGAACGCACCAAACAUAUUGAAGUUGAUUGUCACUACAUUCGUGAAGCUUUUGAUCAUAAUAUUCUUACACUACCUUAUAUUUCCACCGAGCAUCAGACAACUGAUGUCUUUACGAAGGCCUUGUCUCGGCCUCGACAUCAACUCAUGAUAGACAAAUUGAUGCUUCUUGAUCGGCUAGCAUCAAUUUGAGAGGGGAUGUCAUUGUAUAUUAUGGCAAGAAUAUCAAUACUAUAUGGCAACCAAAUUGUAACAGAAUAUCUUGUAUUUAUUAUAGACUACAAAUCAGGGAUUAGAGACAGUAAAUUAGUGAUUAUUACAUGUAUUUAGAGGAUUGAAUUCCUCCUUCUGAAGUCAUUAAUUGAGAGAACAAUUUUACAUUGAAAUUUGAUAUUUGUGACAUGUGACUUGGUGAGAUUCUUCAUUUAUUAUUAUUUCCUUGUGGUGGACACAAUGGUUUACGUAGAUGAACUGAAUUCUUGCAUGACAACAACAAAAUAAGUGUGAUUCAGCACUGUCAAGAAAAAGGUAGAGCAGAGCAACCCUUUUUGACGGAGGCUAAUAAGUUGCAAAAGUUAGUAAGAAGUGGCUCAUUGAGCAACCAAUUAGCCAAGAUGUCUUAUUUCAAACCCUCGUACAGAGGAAUGCCGUAUUUUUAUUUUUCUAAGGAACUGCAUUUUUGUCCCCCUCUUCUCCUUCUUUUUUCCUGUUGAAACAGCAACAGGGUACAUCUACUCCAUGUCAAAGUCUAGUCUAUAACCAGACCAGUAAAGAACAUUGACUUACAAGGAGUUCCAUUGAAGUUUCGAUUAUGAGCAGGCAUGCUUCUAUCCCAAUUUACCACUCUGGGUCAGAUUUCACACUUAUCAGAGCACUGUGAUGACAACAGCAGAAACUAUCUAAUUUCCCACCAAACAUAAAGAGAGCUUUGAAUCUACACACCCGCCAGUUAUAAUCAUUCAAGACAGAUAUGUUAGCUAUAGUUAAGGCCAGAGAGAAACACAAGCUAAAAAAAAAUGCACCUUCUAAUUACCGAGAAGCAUGCAGAAAAAAACCUGUAGACAACUCCAAUAUUGGGUGUCAGAUUCUGUAUUUUCUGAACCUGAAACAACAAGCAAUUAAAUACCAUCAACAACCAACUCAAGUUCUAUACUAUCUUGCAAGUUAUAUACCAUCAAUGAAAUAGUUUUUAUUUAAAGGGAUUAAAAUGACAUCUUUUUACCAAAAUUGUUUUUUCCAAAAAACAUUCAAUAAUAUUUAACCAAGUUUUACCCGAGUCCAUAUAAUUUGAAAGUAAUAAAUCAUAUCAAAUUUCUUUAAAUUAUUAAAUUGGAUCCUUAAUUUUCAAUUCGUCAAAUUAUUAAAUUGGAUCUUCAAUCUCUUUUAUAGGGGGUUUGGUGUCACUGCUUAACUUAAUUAUGAUACUAUAUAUAGUGACCAUUUGUGAUAAUUCUGUUGCAGAUUAAAAAUAUUUAGCGACAUUAAAAGUGUCGUUAAAUAUAUUUUGAAGAGCCAUUACAUGUUGUUUUUUGUUUUUUGUAGUGCAACGAUAGUAAAACAUUAUGUUAAUUUUAGCAACACACCGUGACCAAAUCCAAUGAAGAAACCUAAUAAUCAAAGAAAAUUAGAAAUUUUAAAAUUGAUAUUGGAUUUUUAAAGAUUCAGAUAUUAGGUUAACAUCACAUUUACUAUAACCUUUUAAAUAAAAAAUUAUCAUUGUUUAUGUUUUUCUAAAUUAUUUUAUGCUAUUAUAUUUUUAUUUAUAAUUUAUUUAAGAAUAGACACCGGUUUCUUAGAAUAAAAAACUUGUAAAUUUUUUUGUCAUCCCUAAAAACCAAAGAGUCCAUAGCUUGUCAUUUUAUGACACUAGCCUUGCUAUGUAUAUAUAAUCUCCACGGUUAUAAAAACCAAUAUCUAAAUAGAAGAUUUCAUUAAUUUUUUUACAUUAAUCCCUGAAGACAGUAGAUUUUGUAAUUUCUUGAAUUUUAAUAAAAACUUUGAUGUUAAUCCCUUAAGAUAGAAGAUUUCAUCACUUUUUAAGAUUUAAUGAAAAUUUUGAUGAUAUUCACUAAAAUAGAAGAUUUCAUCAUUUUUUUAAUUUAUAACAAAAUUUUGACGUUAUCUCUAAAAAGUUUUUGUUGUAUAGUAAAAUGGUUUUUAUACAGUAAAAUCCAGUUCCCAUACAGUAGUGUAUAACCUUUUCGGUUUUUAGUAUGGUUUGUUUCUUUGGCUGCUUUUCCAAGAUAAAGUCUUCAUCCGUGAUUUCUUGUUUCAGCAUGAUUUCUUUUCUCUUCAGCAAGCUAGAUGUAUGUUUUGUAAAAGAAGAUUUGAAACUUCAAGCCAUCUCUUCAUUCAUUGUGUUUUUGCCUGGAAGUUAUGAAUGAAAUUCCUAUUUUGGUGGGGGAAUUAGUGAUUCUUUCCCAAAUUCUAUUGAUGAUAUAAUCUACAAAUGAUGCAAGGAAAAUUUCAGAAUCUUUCAUGAUGACAACUUCUCUUUUCUUGUAUUGCAUGGAGUCUAUGGCUACAUUGAAAUGAUGUAAUCUUCAAUGAUGCUAUUCCAGAUCUUAAGGGUUGUUUUUACUUUAUCGAUCCUCCACAGGUUCUCCUUAUGGUUGAAGUUUGAUAGCACAACUUUUGCUUACACCGGUUUGGAUUUAGGGAUCAACUCUGAUGGGAUCUUUUUCGGGGAUAACAGAAGUUGACUUCUUGUUUUUAUCUAUUGUCUGGUCCCUGUUUUCUUCUUCCUGUUAUAGAGUAGAUACCGUGAUUUAGGGAUCAACUAAGGUUCACUGUUGGUUUCUAUGCAAGGCAAGAUUGAGAGUUAUGUGAAUAUAUGAGUUGGAAGGUUAGAGUAAAUGCUGGAUGGUAUUUUUUAUUUUUCCCUCUCAUUGGCGCUGCUCACCAAUAGCUCGGGUGCAUUUGAUGCUGAUGGAGAUGGAACCGAAGCUUAUAUAUUCAGCCACUUCACAUGCUUUUUUUCUUUUAACAGUCGAGUGUAUUAUAAGAAAAUGGCUAAAAAGAUAAUAGCCUAGCAUCCAGAAGUUCUAGCUGACCACAAAAAAAAAAAAAAAAAGCAAACAAGCUUUAGAGGUUUUGAAACAGGGGAAGGAAAACAGUGUGGGAAAAGGAAAAAAACAAUUGAAAUCAGCUCCUCCUUUUUACAAAACCAAUGCCAUCAUAGCUGUUAUGAACAUCCUCGCCAGCAGAGUCUGGAGAAUUGGUAUCAAGUCUCAGCCAUAAUGAGAAACUGCCGAAGAUCAAGGAAAAACAGCUUUGAAGGUUUGGAGCAGCCCUAUUAAAGAUGAUAUCUCCAUAGAAAACCAUUAGUAGUACAUAUCAUCAAUCGAUUUUGUGAAAACAUUGAUAAUACCCCACCGUGAAGGAAUUUCAUUCAUAGAUGCCAAGCAAAGUGGCAGUGGAUGAAGAGGUGACUUGAAGAUUCCAGGUUUUUAUUACAAAAAACACAUCUAGAAGCCACUUCAGAUGCUCAUGAUGAUAUUACAUGUUUCUUCUCUCUGAAUUCAUACAAUCUUUCUUUCAUACACUUCCAUAUUUUUCAGAAAAGAUUGAGGAUGAAGAUACACCAAAUUUAGAUUGCAUCAGAGGUUGCAGUCACUAUCUUUACACGGGGUUGGCUUUUUUUACUUGCUAAAGAUGGCUAACUGUAAUUAGAAUGUUUCUUCUUUUCAAAGUAAUAAAUCUCUGAGUCCUUACAUCUCUAGUUAAUUAUAACUACCUUACCGGUCAUAAUGCUCUUUUCUAUACCUGAUGAAUGAUAUUAUUUCUGAGAUUUUUGAACAUGUAAUGACGGAAGCCUGCGGUGGAUUGGUUCCCUUUGUUACGUUACUGGAGUCGCAAUGUUUCGAGGUAUCUGACCAAAUUAAUUCUCUUGCUUUUUGCAGCAAAUCUGUAUCUCUUGCUACUUGCUAGAGGCGUACUCCCAGGCUACCACUGUUUUGGUGUUGCCUCUCUUACCAUUGUUAUUAGGUUGAAUUAAUUAAAUACCAGAAGAUUUCUGGAUGUGUAAUGACUGUAUGAUUAAACUUACCAGUGCACUGUCAAGGCUGUGGCGCAUGAACUUCAUUCGCGGGCGUGCGUCACCACUGUUCCACCGUGUGCCGUCGCAGCCUUCACCAAUUCCAGUAGCUCCAGUUUUUUUCUCCAUUGCCUCCAUUGAAGGUCCAAUUUUCGAGCUCACAAAACAUGACAUCUUGAGUUUAUUUUUCACGAAUUAUGUUUGUGUUUUGACAAAUCCAACAAUUAUGAUUUGAUUUAGUUGUUUCUAGUUAUGGGACACAAUGUUGUGUUUUUUUAUUAAAAAAAAGAAGAAAAGAAAACAGAGAGAAUGCUAAAAAGAAAGUCACAGCUGCAUGUGAUAGAAUACAUGUAAGUAGGAAAUAAAAUCCAACUCAAGAAUAGAUUACAAAUGAGUUCAAUCCAUUUACAGAAAAAGGGUAUAUAGAAUAUAUUUGUCUGAAGAAUCCCCUGUCUGGAAGUUCUUUGAAUGGGGCUGUGAUGGCAUUUAGAAAGCACAAGCACUAGGGGUCUUGUCUUUCACUAGCAGAAACAUAUUUAUUGUUGAAGAUUUUUUGUGUUAGGUUUAGAUAACUUUAUUUGGAUUUAAUCCACUAAAUUGGUGGGUAUCAUCUCUUAUAGAUGAUACUUUAGCUUCCAAGUCUACCAUUCUCUCAUUUAUUUGGAUGUGUUUUGUAGGGUAGAUAUGGUUGUUUUUCAAAAUGUUUUUUAAUUGAAAAUGCUUUAAAAUAAUUUUUUAAAUAUCAGUUUUUACAUCAACAAUAUAUCAAAAUGAUCUAAAAAUAUUUAUAAAAAAUUAAUUUAAAAUAAAUAAAUAAAAUUUAAAUUUAAAAAAAAAACAAAACACUUACACAAAAACAAAUAGAAUCUUGCUGUGAAUAACAGAAUUUGGUGCUAAAUUUCUUGUUGUGAAUUGCAGAAAACAGUUGCUUGAUCUGCACUAGGAUGGCAAUAGCAAGGUAAUGGAGGAUGUGAGAAAGGUAUAUCCAAGUCGUGCUUCUUUUUUGUAUCUUUCUCCUCAUCCACUAACUCUUGCUUCUUUUUUUCCCGUGAAAAAAUGGAGAGCCGAAAAUAGAUUUGUUAAAAAAUGGAGUUCCUGCAGAUUCCAAUUAAAGAGUUCUGUCUUUCUCCUGUAAUCAUCAAAACAAAUGUUAGGGAUGUGAGAAAUCUUUUGCCAAUCUUCACCCAUCUCCUCCUCCCCGUAACGUUUCUUAAUGGGGCAUCUACUUAUGUCCAGUUCCUGUAGAGGCGCUGCCAAAACAUAGUCUGGUAGUGCUCUCAACAACGGGCAAUUUCAAUAUCAAUCUCGAAGUUGUGGCAUAAUGGAUAUAUUGAAGUUGUGUUGGCAUCUUCUUCUCCCACUCUCCUUCCAAUUCCAUCCCACUCUUCUACUUCUUCGAGAUCCAAAUCAAGUUUUUAAUUUGGGGAAAGCAGUGACCCUUGCAAUUUCUCCUUCAUUAAUACUGGCAUUCUCAUCUUUUUCUAUACCUAAAAAUCCAGCAUCCAACCUUCUCACCUUCAACGACCUCAAACCAGGCUUUCAAGGUUGGGCAAUCUCCCAACGGAGGCAAGACCUCCAGUUCACAAUAACAGAGUUUAAGCUCCUGUAAUCUGGUUAAUGUCAUCAUCCAAUUUGGCAAAUCCAACCCUCCGUACCUAGAUAUGGUUAGAUUUCCAAGUCUGACGGAGGCGUAAAGCUUCAAUUAAAAGCCGUUCUUGCCGGCUCUGUGUCGAAACCAAUAGCAAACAAGCAGGCGCUUCUUAUUCUUGAGUUGUGCUUCUGCAGCGUCACUCGCAUCUUCUACCUCCCCGUAGAUUCCAUAUCUUAAGACUCCCUCCAAUGUGAUUUAAGUUUUUUAAUUCUCUUAGAUUAGCUGCUUUACUUUCAUUCUCACCACCACCACACACAGUAAACACAUCUAAUGUUCGAAGACAUGUUAUCCUCUCUAUUCCCUUUGGUAUGAAGGCCACUCCUGAACCAUAAAUCCGGAGAUGCCUCAAUUUGAUAAGUUUUCCAAUCGCCUUGGCAAUUCCUUGAGAACCACACCAAGUAACGUCUAGGGAUUGCAGAUUGCAUAAAUCACACAUGGUUUCUGGCAGGGACUCCAACUUAACAAAUGCCAAAUUGAGGUGUCUCAAAUGUAUCAAUUUCCCUACCUCGUUUGGUAUUUCUUUGAUUGAAGACCUUGACAAAUUCAAUGACCUGAUGCAUGUCAACUGCUUGAACAAAUCAGGCAGUGCAGCUCCAAGCGAAGGGUCUCUAGUGUCGAUCAAGAGGCUGCGAAGACCUUUUGCUUUGUGAAUGGACACGGGAAAAGAGGUCUCUUGACAGCAUCAUGCUUAAAUGACGAACCCUUUCAAUUGAAGUCUCCAUUGUUGCUCCUGAAGGUUAUUGACAUCCACUGUUAGACAUUCAUUUUUUGUCAUAUAUUGGGCAAAAUCAUGCACUAUAUCAUGCAUCUUGAAUCUAAUAUCUUCUGAUCAUACGUCUUAAAUCUUGGAAGAAAGAGCGCGCUGCUAAGACUUGAAAGUACUGCUCUCCAACAAGCUCCAUAUCUCCACCUGAAGUCUCCUUGAGGUAACCUUGAGCUAUCCACAUCUUCACCAAUUCUAUUUCCCAUCUCGUAGUCUUUUGGAAACAUGGCACAAUACAAGAAACAUCGUCUUACCACAGAAGGUAAAUCGUAGUAACUCAAAAGCAAAGGUAGAAAUAUUCCUCUUUCAACCUGAUCUCUAUCAACCUCAUCUAGCCCCACAAUUCGCUAGAUAAAACACGCUCCCACUCUUCUCUUGUUCUUUUAGACUGCAUUAGACCUCCUAAUACCUUGGCAGCUAGAGGCAAGCCCUUGCACUUGCUUGCAAUUUUUCGCCGAUAUCUGUCAAUCUUUCGCGCUCAUCUUUGCUUCUUUCCUGGAAUGCCACAUGAUUGAAUAUUGACCUGCAUAUCUCAUCGGACAAUUUCUCAAUGUUGAUCCGGUGGUCAGUUCCCAUCAUCGUUGCCACAGAAUGUUUACGAGUGGUCACUAGAAUUCUGCUUCCUGGUGCACGCCUGUGAGAGAUGGUUUCAGUUGUUCCCAUUGUCCAUGAUUUUCUGUCCAUACAUCAUCAAGGACAAGAAGGAACCUCUUUCCCUUAAUGGAUUCAGAAACCCUUUGCAAAAGGGAUUGCAAUUCAACCAAAUCGUGCCUCCCUUCAAGCUGCUCAAGGAUAGCUUUGGCUAUUCUAACCUCAUCAAAUGGAUCUGAACACACACCCAUAUCUUUUUCUCAAAAUGAGCCGUAACCUCAGCAUCAUUAAAAGCUAGUUGGGCGAGAGUUGUUUUUCCAAUUCCGCCCAGCCCUACUAGAGAGAUGACAUCCACGUCCCGUGCUUCCUGACUACUUUCCCAGCAACUUGCUUACUACAGCUUCCCUUUCAUCAUCUCGACCAUCACGAUUGAUUCAUCAACAAGGGAGGUACUUGUUAUUCGUUGGAGUUCAUCAGUGGCUCUGUACAACUCAAAGCCAUACAUAGCUCUCUCUUUGGCAAUCUCAUCCACUUUUUCACAUACUUCUUUGAUCUUGAGGGCAAUGUCGCGACGUCGACCACUUGAUUGAAACAAAAGCAAGGAGAUCCCAGGAAGGAACAUCCAUCUUCUGUAGGCUGUGAGUAUUUUCUUCAGCAUCCCCCAUUUUCCAUCUAAGAAUUGCAGAGCUCCAUUCAUCUAGCACGUCAUCCAUAUCAUAACAUACAUCUUUGAGCUUGUCUACCCAAUCUCUUACUGCCUCAUCCUUCACUUGUUUUCUAUCUGCAUCUUCAAGGACAGAGUGAAUAGCAAGGAGAUUGCUUUUCAGCUUGUCGACUUGUUUCUUCACACCCACUACUAGGUUCACCUCUUCUUGUACCUAUUAGUGUAGAAAAGAUAAGGAAGUUCAAGUAGAGGAAACAUUUCUAUGAUUUCACUGCAAAUUUUUAAUUUUAAUGUUUUGUAAUUAAUAGAUUAGCAGUAGUUGACACGUACUGUGAAAUGGAUUGGCUAUAUUAAUAAUUUAUAUAUAAAAUAUUUAUUAAAAACCUAUAUAUUAAAGAUAAUAAUAUUUCUUUUUAUCAUCAUCAUGAUGAUAUCUGUCUGCAGUCUGCUACUAACAAGAUGGAAGAUAAUGAAUCAUAAAAUUGUUCGACGUCAAACCUAUAAAUAACAUAAGCUUGCUGGAUCAAAGAAAUAUAGAGUAUAAAAGGAUCUGUAUUUGUUGGUAUUUGUAAAGUCUAUAGUUUUAAAGUGAAAAUAUUCUUCCUUUAUAACACUCACUAAUUAUUUUAACAUUUGAUUGAUUAUUUUACAGUUUAAUGAGAGGAUCGACAACUCCCUUUUCCUUCUAAGAAUAUUUGUUUUAGAUUAUUUCCGGAAAUAUGAAAAAUAAUAAUAUAAUAAAGAGAAAUUUCUUUAAUAAAAUACAAAUCUAGAUCUGAGGAUUUGAUAUUUUAUUUUAUUUUUCUUAUAAAGGAAGAAAAAAGACUUCAUUUUUAUAUUUCUUAUUCAUGUUAGGGCUAAUCAGAUCAUUGCAAAUUGUACGAAGUAAUUACCUCUUGAGCAACAAUCCUCGUUAACUGCUCCAAAAUUGGCGAUAAAAGUGCCGCUGCCAUCUGUCUGUUUAAUUUAAUUUAAUUUAAUUAUUUUUGAAAAAGAGACAAUGAUGAUAGGAUGAACUAAGAAAGAGAGAGAAGAGAGUCUGAGUGGAAGGAGGCUGCUGGUUUAUUAGUUAGUUUAUGUACUUAGGGUUUGGUGUGGAGGGUUGAGUUUUGUUUCAGUCCCUGUACUGUUUCUAACACUUCGAUUCAGUCCCUAUAUUAUUGUAGCUUUUCAGUCUAGUCCUGGUUGUAUGUUUCUACUGAGAAUGACAUGCCAUUUUGAGUUCCAAAGGUGAAAUACUCGUGCUUUUCUAACUUUUCCUGGCUAAGGAUUAUUAUUUGUGGAAAGUAAUUUCUUCUUCGAUAUAUAGCAGUUAUUUUGGAUUGAUACUGACCUUAGGUUAAGAAUGCUGAAGUUUCUAUUGAUUAUAGCAAUCUACUGAAAUCCCUGCUUCUCGUCUGCUUCUCUAUUUCUUCUCUUCAUUUUAUGUUAUUCCACUAAUCUUCCAAACUGGAUCAUGGUAAUAUAUAUCUGUCCAUCCAAACUAAUUUACACAAACCAAAAGUAGUAACCAAUUAGUUCUUGUGUAAUGGAAAUACAAACAAGCAUCUAUCUAUCUGGGUUUUUGAGAUCUGGUGAUUUUAUCCUGUUUUCAUAGCAGGGACUGGGGUUUGAUAUUGAUCUUUGAUUUUUGGGUCCGAAAAUGGAUGGUCCAGAUUUGUUGAGGUUGUAUGAUUGGAUUUGUUGAUGGUGCUUGAGAUGAUGCUGUAAAGUAUUUUCUUAUAUAUUUUCUGAUUUUCUGGAGGAAAGGAAAGGACUACAUCACCUUCCUAUCGAUUUUUCUAUCUGCAUCCAUAUACAUUUUGCAAUUAAGUCAUUAUGCUUUAAACUCAUUCCAUGUGCCUUCCCUUACAAGAAAAAAAAGAAAAAGAAAAAACAAGCCCAGGGUACUCAGCUUGGGCUUGGGUUCCCUCAUUAUGACUUGGUGAAUUGGGCAAUCUAAAUACUUUUGGGCUCUGUUUUAAUGGGUUCCAAGGGGAAGAAAACACAACGAUUCUUGAACAAGGAUUUGUGUCCCGUGCGCACUUGAACGAUGGGGGUCUGUUUGCAUUUUGUCAAAAGAGAUGAAAUUCUAAUCAAUGAUGAUGAUGAAAAAAAUAAAUAUAUAAAUUACUAUGUGCAUUCUAUAAUUUAGUUAUAUAAUAUAGUAGAUCUUUACAAAUUAGUAAUUUCAACUUACCAGUAGAAAAAUUAUAGUAGAUCUUUACCAUGAUAUUAUCGAAAUAAAUAAAUAAAUAAAAAUAGAUACACUUCAACACGUCCAUACACUCUUUACCAUGAUAUUAUGUAAAAUGUUAUUCUGAAGUGCCAAGACGGCUUCCUUGAAUUGCAAUAGUAUUUCGAUGUCUUGGUAGUUGAAUUUUUCUCAAUGAGCUCCAGGAAACUCUGUAAUUCUGAUUCUUGCCACCAAGUAACUUCAGGGCAGUCUGGAAAGGAUUUUCAAUGUACUUAUGUUCUUGAUGGAAUCUAAUUAUAAUUCUUAAAAACUUUUCAAUGUACUUCUGGCUUUUAAGCAAGCCUUGUCAGAACAAGAGUCUUGUGAUUAAAUUGUUUCUUCAACUCAAAUAGAUCCCUGAAAAUUAGAAAGGGGAGGCUUAUAAUUAAAUAAUAAAUGACACCAGGGGUAACAACUUAUACCCUGAUAAUCUACUAAUAGACUGACAUGCUGUAUCCAAGAAAUUAUUCCACCCCGUUUUUGGGCUGUGUUCAGAAAAUUAUUACAACCCAUUUUUGGGGUUCAACUUCGGUAUUGUUUAUUAUGUUGUUCGCCUUUUUUAAAUUGUGUUUUUUAAAAUAUAUUUUAUAAUCUUAAUGAAAAAAAAUAUAAAAAUAUAUUUUUAAUUAAAAAAUACUUUUAAAAAAGAUCAUAUCUUGCAUUACUAAACACACAUAUAAUAGAAUACUCGAGGGAUUUUUUUAUAAGCCAAGACUAAAUUUAUUAUUGCUAUUAUUUUAAAGUUCAUUCGUAUUUGUAUUAAACACAUACUAAUUUUCUCUUGAAAUAUGAAAGCAAAAUCCAAAAAAAAAUAAAAUGAAUGCUAAUCAAUAAAAAACAUAUGAAUUUUUUUUAUUUGAGAAUAAAGAAUUUUUUAAAUUUUUUUAUAAAUUAAUUAAAAUUAACCAUUAUUUACAUUAUUUAAGAGCAUUAAAGAAAUUUUUUAAAAAAACUUAACAAAUCUAAAAUUAGAAGUUAUUGUAGUUCUAAAUACUUCCGAGUAUUUAAUUAAUUUUAUUUUUGGAUAUGUUUUUAAAAUAUAUUUUAUUUAAAAAAUAUUAUAUUAAGUUUUUAAAUAUUUUUAAUGAUUUUUAUGUAUUAAUAUUAAAAUGGCAUGUCAUUCUCAGUAGAAACAUACAAUUAAAUUUCAUUAACAGCCAUCUCAAGUUCUAUACUAUCUUGCAAGUUGUAUAACAUCAAUGAAAAAUUUUUUAUUUAAAGGGGUUAAAAUGACAUCUUUUUACCAAAAUUGUUUUUUCUAAAAAAAAUUCAAUAAUAUUUAACCAAGUUUUACCCGAGUCCAUAUAAUUUGAAAGUAAUAAAUCAUAUCAAAUUUCUUUAAAUUAUUAAAUUGGAUCCUUAAUUUUUAAUUUGUCAAAUUAUUAAAUUGGAUCUUCAAUCUCUUUUAUAGGGGGUUUGGUAUCACUGCAUAACUUAAUUAUGACACUAUAUAUAGUGAUCAUUUGUGAUAAUUCUGUUGCAGAUUGAAAAUAUUUAGCGACACUAAAAGUGUCGUUAAAUAUGAGAGCCAUUACAUGUUGUUUUUUGUUUUUUGUAGUGCAACGAUAGUAAAACAUGAUGUUAAUUUUAGCAACACACCGUGACCAAAUGCAACGAAGAGAGUCGAAACCUAAUAAUCAAAGAAAAUUAGAUAUUCUAAAAUUGAUAUUGGAUUUUUAAAGAUUCAGAUAUUAGGUUAACAUCACAUUUACUAUAACCUUUUAAAUAAAAAAUUAUCAUUGUUUAUGUUUUUCUAAAUUAUUUUAUGCUAUUAUAUUUUUAUUUAUAAUUUAUUUAAGAAUAGACACCGGUUUCUUAGAAUAAAAAACUUGUAAAAUUUUUUGUCAUCCCUAAAAACCAAAGAGUCCAUAGCUUGUCAUUUUAUGACACUAGCCUUGCUAUGUAUAUACAUAAUCUCCACGGUUUUAAAAACCAAUCUCUAAAAUAGGAGAUUUCAUUAAUUUUUUUACAUUAAUCCCUGAAGACAUGCAGUAGAUUUUGUAAUUUCUUGAAUUUUAAUAAAAACUUUGAUGUUAAUCCCUUAAGAUAGAAGAUUUCAUCACUUUUUAAGAUUUAAUGAAAAUUUUGAUGAUAUUCACUAAAAUAGAAGAUUUCAUCAAUUGUUUCUUUGGCUGCUUAUCCAAGAUAAAGUCUUCAUCCGUGAUUUCUUGUUUCAGCAUGAUUUCUUUUCUCUUCAGCAAGCUAGAUGUAUGUUUUGUAAAAGAAGAUUUGAAACUUCAAGCCAUCUCUUCAUUCAUUGUGUUUUUGCCUGGAAGUUAUGAAUGAAAUUCCUAUUUUGGUGGGGGAAUUAGUGAUUCUUUCCCAAAUUCUAUUGAUGAUAUAAUCUACAAAUGAUGCAAGGAAAAUUUCAGAAUCUUUCAUGAUGACAACUUCUCUUUUCUUGUAUUGCAUGGAGUCUAUGGCUACAUUGAAAUGAUGUAAUCUUCAAUGAUGCUAUUCCAGAUCUUAAGGGUUGUUUUUACUUUAUCGAUCCUCCACAGGUUCUCCUUAUGGUUGAAGUUUGAUAGCACAACUUUUGCUUACACCGGUUUGGAUUUAGGGAUCAACUCUGAUGGGAUCUUUUUCGGGGAUAACAGAAGUUGACUUCUUGUUUUUAUCUAUUGUCUGGUCCCUGUUUUCUUCUUCCUGUUAUAGAGUAGAUACCGUGAUUUAGGGAUCAACUAAGGUUCACUGUUGGUUUCUAUGCAAGGCAAGAUUGAAAGUUCUGUGAAUAUAUGAGUUGGAAGGUUAGAGUAAAUGCUGGAUGGUAUUUUUGAUUUUUCCCUCUCAAUGGCGCUGCUCACCAAUAGCUCGGGUGUAUUUGUGCUGAUGGAGAUGGAACCGAAGCGUAUAUAUUGGCUUUUUUUACUUGCUAAAGAUGGCUAACUCAGUAACAGAAGAGAUUUUCUAUUUCAGCAUGACUACCUUACCCUUAAGGAAUCAAGAUGUGCUUCAUGCAAUAAAAGCUUGGAAUCUUCAAUUCACUUCUUCAUUUAGUAUCACUUCACUUUGAAUAUAUGGAUGAAAUUGCUUUUUAAUCAGGGCUUUUGUAGUGCUUUUUCAAAAUAUAUUGACAAUAUGUGUUACCAAUGGUCUUCCAUGGUUAAAGACAAGCAACAAAAUCUCUUAUAACAGCUUAUUUUCUCAUGUAUUGUAUGGAAUAUGUGGCUCCACUGAAAUGAUGUCAUUUUUAAUGACGCUGCCCCUAACCUUCAAAUCUAUUUUUUCAUGAUGCGUCAAAGUAUUGCUUCAUGGCUGAGGCUUCAUUCUAGCUUUUUAAAGCUUAAUAUAGAGAAUGUUCAGUAGGGAGGAAAUGAUUUUUUAUGUUUUUUAUUUGUUCCUCCUAAUUGUUACGCUCCCUUGUUUCAUGCAGCAGCUUUUAUGCUUUUUUUUUUCUUUAUUUAUUCAUCUAAUGUAAAUUAUGCUAUUAUCUUAAUACCCAUUUUCUUAAUAAAAAUUUCGAUUAUUACCAAAAAAAAAGAUGGCUAACUGUAAUUAGAAUGAUGGUAAAUGUUUCUUCUUUUCACAGUAACAAAUCUCUGAGACCUUACAUCUCUAGUUAAUUAUAACUACCUUACCGGUCAAAAUGUUCUUUUUCUGUACCUGAUGAGUGAUAUUAUUUCUGAGAUUUUUGAACAUGUAAUGACGGAAGCCUGCGUUGGACUGGUUCUCUUUGUUACGUUACUGGAGUCGCAAUGUUUCGAGUUAUCGGACCAAAUUAAUUCUCUUUCUUUUUGCAGCAAAGCUGUAUCUCUUGCUACUUGCUAGAGGCGUAAUCCCAGGCUACCACUGUUUUGGUGUUGCCUCUCUCACCAUUGUUAUUAGGUUGAAUUAAAUACCAGAAGAUUUCUGGAUGUGUAAUGACUGUAUGAUUAAACUUACCAAUGCACUGUCAAGGCUGUGGCGCGUCAACUGCAUGUGCCGGCGGGCGUCACCAUUGUUCCACCAUGUGCCGUUGUAGCCACUAAGUGGCCAAGAUUUUUUAAAUGAGAAGGUAAAUUACUAAUAAAUAUUUGAUAUUAUGUAUUAUGUAUACAUGCAUUAUAUAGAAAAAUCAAUUUGAAAUAUAUGUACUAACUCAUAUUAAAUGAAAUUAAUUUAAGAGUACUUUUAAAAUGAUAAAAAAAUUACAUUAUAAUUGUUCUUUUCGGGUUUUUAUAUUUUGAAACUGUUUCAUAAUAACUUCAUUAUCAAUCUCAUUAAAGAUAUUUUUCUAAAUUUAUAUAAUUAAAUUGUCAUUUAUCCACUUAUCUCCUAUCUUAUAUUGCAAUCUACUCUUGAAAACAUUCAUGACAGAUAAAACUAUUUUCACUAUAGCAGUUACAACUAGUAAAAAUAAUGACAAUUUGAUAAGUAUAUAUACCAAUAAAAAUAUUAAAUUCUUCUUUGUUUUUACCAUUUAAUUUCUCCUCAAGACUAGCGGCAAUAAAAAGUUCUCUCUGACUAGAAAGUUUCAAAUGGUAGAAGGUAAACUCUUUAAUAUUACAGAGGAGCUAAUGAAUCAAAGAAUCGAACAUAGAAAGUUUUGAUGGUAUAAACACAAACCACGGAAGCAGCAAUAAAAAGUGCUCUCUGGCUCUAUGGUUUCCUUCUUUAUAUGCGUUGAUUAGUUUUUUUUUUUGCCAUAGAAUAAAAUCAUCAGAUGUCCCUUUACUUCUUUAUCUGUUAAACAUGAAUAAAAGAAAAAUUUGAGACAACCAGCUUAUAAUUCAAACACCAAAAGUGUUUUUUAAUAGAUUCAAAGAUUAAAAAAAAUUACUUUGAACUUUGCAAGGAGAGAAUGUAGAUAGUCACAGUAGAACACAUUAAUAUAUUGUCUCUUGAUUUUUUAUCUUUUACAAAAUAUAACUUAAGUUAUUAUAUUAAUAUUUUAACGUAAAAAUUAAUUUUUUUUUUAAAAGAAGGGGGCAGCUGGCCCCUUAUGCCCCAGUGGCUCCGCCCCUGGCAGCCACCACCAAUUCCAGCAGCUCCAGCUUUUUUCUCCAUUUCCUCAUGUCCAAAUUUCAAGCUCAGCAUGACAUUUUGAGUUUAUUUUUCAUGAAUUAUGUUUGUAUUUUGACAAAUCCAACAAUUAUGAUUUGAUUUAGUUGUUUCUGGUUAUGGGACACAAUGUGGUUUUUUUUAUUAAAAACAAAAAACAGAGAGAAUGCAAGAAAGAAAGUCACAGCUACAUUUGAUAGAAUAAAUGUAAGUAGGAAAUAAAAUCCAACUCAAGAAUAGUUACAAAUGAGUUCAAUCCAUUUACAGAAAAAGGGUAUAUAAAAUAUAUUGGUCUGAAGAAUCCUCUGUCUGGAAGUUCUUUGAAUGGGGCUGUGAUGGCAUUUAGAAAGCAGAGGAACUAGGGGGCUUGUAGCAGAAAUCAUAUUUAUUGUUGAAGAUUUUUUUGUGUUCGGUUUAGAUAACUUUAUUUGGAUUUAAUCCACAAUGGGUAUCAUCUCUUAUAGAUGAAUGGUUAAGCUUCCAAGUCUACCAUUCUCUCAUGUAUUUGGAUUUAAUCCACUGAAACUGAGGUUUAAGAAUUUCUUGUUGUGAAUUGCAGAAAACAGUUGAUUGAUCUUCACUAGGAUGGCAAUUGGAAAUGAAUGGAGGAAGCAUCAAGAUCAGUGGCUUGUUUGAAGGCAGAUAGACCCUUUGAUCGUGAGAUGAUGCCUUUAGAUGAGAAAGGAUGUGAGAAAGGUAUAUCACAGCUGCAUUUGAUAGAAUAAAUGGUAAGUAGUUUGUUUUUUAAUUAAGUAUUUCAAUAUGGCAAAGAUAGGGUGUAAUUUACCAUACUUUAGUCUUAUUCCAUUCAAUAUAAUUAUGGAUACUAUAGAGCAUAUACGUACUUUGAUCUUAAUUAGUCCUUGGCUUAAAACGAAUUUGGUGCAGAUACAGAUUCUAAAGACGUCCAACUCCAACAAGCCCUAAAAGGACAUCAUUGGAUAAAUACCAAGGAGCUUGUGCAUGAGCAUUGUUUUGUUCACUCUGUGGCAGAGGCCUCUCCACAACUUCUCAGCAGGAAAGCUAUUAUUUAAGUUGCAACGCAGUGCGGUUCUAUAAACUAACUAGUUUAUAGCAAUUGCAAAUGAAUGGACCCUUUGAUCGUUAGAUUAUGCCUUUAGAUGAGGCUCGACAUUAUAGAGGCAUAAAAGAGAGAGAGAUACAUCACAGCUGCUUUUGAUAGAGUAAACAGGUCACAUAUUAUUUACACUCAACCUUAGCAAACACCAAAGCAAAUAAUUAAUACACUCAAAGCGAAAAAAUAAUGUGAGAAAUCUUUUACCAAACUGCACCCAUCUUCUCAUCCCCGUAACGAUUCGUUAGAAUGGGGCUCCUUCUUAUGAUUAAUUCCUGUAGAGGCGCUGCCAAAACAUAGUCUGGUAGUGCUCUCAACAACGGGCAAGUAUCAAUAAUCAACUCUUGAAGUUGUGUUGGCAUCUUCUUCUCCCACUCUCCUUUCAAUUCCAUCCCACUCUUCUACUUCUGUGAGAUCCAUAAUCCAAAGUUUUUUCAAUUUGGGGAAAGCAGUGACCCUUGCAAUUUCUCCUUCACUAAUACUGGCAUUCUCAUCUUUUUCUAUACCUAAAAAUCCAGCAUCCAGCCUUCUCACCUUCAUCGACCUCAAUACCAGGCUUUCAUGGUUGGGCAAUCUUCCCAACGGAGGCAAGACCUCCACGUUUGUACAAAGACCGAGUGUAAGCACCUGUAAUCUGGUUAAUGUCAUCAUCCAAUUUGGCAAAUCCAACCCUCCGUACCUAGUUAUGGUUAGAUUUUCCAAGGAUGACGGAGGCUGUAAAACUUCAAUUAAAAUGUUGUUCUCCCGGUUGAAGUUGAAAUCCAAUUGCAAACAAAGUAGGCGAUUCUUAUUCUUGAGUUGUACUUCUUUCAUUGUCUUUUUCUACUCUUUCAUAAUUUAAGGCACUUCUUUCUUCUUUUAGCUAGAAACAUAAUGCAGAUGCAGAGAGUGAAGAGUCGACAUGCAGAUGCAGGAACAUAGGAAGAGAGUUGUUUGGUUACUAAAAUAAGGGCUAGGGUUAUGAAAUCUGGAAAUUGAAAUUCGGAUCGAAAUUAGUGAGGAAAUCAGCAUGCUAGAUUCAGCAGCGUUUGGGGUCAGAAUGGCAUUGUUGGGAAUAAGACAACAAAUUAUGCGUAGCUUAGCAGCCAUUGUUGCUGCUUCAGGAACACCAAACUCCCUUGUCAAAAAACUGCAUUCAUAUGCAUUUUGCAAUUAAGGCAUUAUGCUUUAAACUCAUUCUAUUUGCCUUCCCUCACACAAAAAAGAAAAAAAAAAGGUUAUUUGCUGUCGUCACUGGAUUAGUUUCAAACCCAAAAGUCUCGUUGCGUUCUGUUUCAAUUCAGUCAGUCUUUAUUAGUCAAUGCUUCGCUGCACUGAAAAAACACCAUAUGCACCUCAUUGCAGAGUGAGGUCAUAUGUCCUACAAAAAUGGAUUUUGAACAUAAUAAUUAGAAGGAAAAAAAAAUUAAAAGUGAGCAUAAUUGAUCAUCGUGGAUAUAAUAAUAAUAUUUAAUAAAAUGAAUUAGCUUGUUAACUCCUAGAAGUUUUUAUAAAAACUAAUCUUGAAGUACAAGUAAUCCCUUCGCUCAUCAACUUCGCUGUGAAAAAGCCCAGAGUACUCAGCUUGGGCUUGUGUUCCCUCAUUAUGACUUGGUGAAUUGGGCAAUCUAAAUACUUUUGGGCUCUGUGUUUUAAUGGGUUCCAAGGGGAAGAAAACACAACGAUUCUUGAACAAGGAUUUGUGUCCCGUGCGCACUUGAACGAUGGGGGUCUGUUUGCAUUUUGUCAAAAGAGAUGAAAUUCUAAUCAAUGAUGAUGAUGAAAAAAAUAAAUAUAUAAAUUACUAUGUGCAUUCUAUAAUUUAGUUAUAUAAUAUAGUAGAUCUUUACAAAUUAGUAAUUUCAACUUACCAGUAGAAAAAUUAUAGUAGAUCUUUACCAUGAUAUUAUCGAAAUAAAUAAAUAAAUAAAAAUAGAUACACUUCAACACGUCCAUACACUCCUUUUUUAAAAAAUAAUUAUAAUAAAAUUAAUUAGUUAUUAAUUAUAAAAAUCAGACCUAUGAGUUAUGUCUAAGCUGUUGAAAAUAGUAAAGAUAAAGUAAUUAGAAGUGACAAUGAAAUUAUUAGUUGAUCAUCGAGUUGUUUUACUAGAAUCCAAAUCACUUAGCUCAAAUUACUAAUAACAAUUAUAAAUUUACACCAAAUUUGAACAAAUUUCUACCAGCCGAUGUGACUAAACUCAAAUCACUCCUAGGAAUCUUAAUAUAAACCCAUUUACUACUAGACCAGCACCUCUUUGGCUAAAAUCCACGUUGCUUUCCCACACCAAUCAUCAGCUUCUUCAAUUACAGUGCUACAAGUCCAUGUCUCUAUACCUAUUGUAACAUAUUCUACAAACAUACUGUUUUACUGUAGACUGCAAUGUUUUAAGUGUUUUUUUUUUAUUAAGUUGUUUUAUUUUUUUUAACGGUUUUUUUUAUGUCUUUCAGAAUAUUUUUUUUGCUUCGUUCUUUGUUUUUUUUUCUUUUAACAAAAGUUUUUUGUUUAAUUUAGUUUAUUAAUGUUUAAUUUUUUUAUUUAUUUAUCAGACUUUCAUGAUACAUUUUCCAGAUUUAACGGGUUAACCUGGUUUGACAAGUUAACCCAUAAUUUUUUUUUUUGCUUUUUUUAAAUUAAUUUUUUUGCUUUAGUUUAUUUUAUUAAUGUUAAAUUUCUUUCUAUUUAGUUAUCAGACUUUCAUGACAUAUAUCUAGAGUUUCACGGGUUAACACGGUUUGACGGGUUAACAUGGAUUUUUUAUUAUUUUUUUCUUUUUAAUUAAUUUUUUUCGUUUAGUUCAGUUUGUUAAUGUUCACUUUUUUUUUUAUUUCGUUACCAUACAUUCAUGACACAGAUCCCGGGUUUAACGGGUUAACCUGGUUUGACAAGUUAACCUGAAAUUUUUUUUUUUUGCUUUUUUUUUUUUAAAUUUAGUUUAGUUUGUUAAUGUUAAAUUUCUUUCUAUUUAGUUUUUUUUUCUUCAUAGAGGUUUUUUUCUUUUAUUUUUUCUUUUUAAUUAAUUUAGUUUAUUAAUAUUAAAUAUUUUUCUAAUUAGUUCUCGGCUAAUGCCUUUAGUUUUUCUUUUUGUUUCUUUUUGUUGUUUUUUUGCCUUUGACUGUGGACUGCACAAUGCAGUCCACAAUAAAAAGGUUGAUGCCUUUUGUUUUUUUUUUCUUUUUAAUUAAUUUUUUUUGUUUAAUUUAAAUUAUUAAUGUUAAAUUUUUUUUCUAUUUAGUUAUCAAACUUUCAUGAUACGAAUUCUGAGUUUGACAUGUUAACCUGAUUUGACGAGUUAGCCCAGUCAACUCAAUGAAUCACACAGAUAAAUUACACGGAAUCAGUAAAAUCAAAAUAAAACGUGUUAAUCUACUUUCUUAUGUUAUGAAAGGAGAUGAAUCCAACAAAAACAUAAUAAGCCACAGUUAAUUUUUUUAUCUUUGAGAUAAAAAAAUAUUUUUGAAAAAAUUAAAUUUUUUAUUAAUUUAUAAUUUAUUUAUAUUUUAAAAUAAUUUUAAUGUAUUAAUAUUAAAAAUUAAUUUUUAAAAACAAAAUUUUAAUUAUUUUUAAAUAAAAAUAUUUUAAAAAAUAAUUAUUAUUUUAAUACCAAAAACGCUUUUGCCUGCUUGGGAGUUAUGGUUGCGGUUGCUUUUCAAAAUGUUUUUUAUUUAAAAAUGUAUUAAAAUGAUGUUUUUUUUAUUUUUUUAAAAUUAAUUUUUAUAUCAGUGCAUCAAAAUAAUCUGAAAAAACUAAAAAAAUAUUAAUUUAAAUAAAAGAAAAAAAUUAAAAUUAAAUAAAUAUUUUUCAAAACGUUUUUAAAACAUAAAAACAAAUAGAAAUAAAUGCUAAAAUAGGAAAACAAACCAACUCUUUAUUAAAUGACAUUAUUUUUGAGAUUUUAUAUAUAUAUAUAUAUAUAUAUAAAAACUUUGGUGGACACACCAAUCAAUCCAUUCGAUUGGCCACCCAAUCUUGGGCAAGAUCGACCGUGGGUUGUAUCUUAUUACUAUGGUGAUAAGUAAUCACUCGAAAGUUCAAAACUAGCUUGACCCAUAAGAAUAUAUAUCGGAAUAAGUUAAGACUAUGAUGCCAACUUUAUUUUUUUAAAAAAAUAAAAGGCAUAAAUCAUUAAUAAAAAUCUAAAAGGUAUGAAAUUUUUAUUAUGUGUGUACCAUUGUUCACCCUUCCAUAUUUUAUUAUAGAUAAUCUAUUGUUUAAAAUUUUGUCUUUUUAAUCUGGGCCUUGAUUUUUUUUACACGAUUGCAUUCUUUUUUAACCAAAUUAAAAAGCAACUUUAUCAAAUUCGCCGACUACUGAUAAAAUUAAAAAAGAGAGGACUAAAAUAGAAAAGGUGCAAUAAAUGGAUGAUGAUUUCAAAGUUCACACAAAAAAUCAAUUUAGUCCUCACACUUUAAAAAUUAUACAUAUUCGAUUUUUCAAUAUUUUUUUAAAUUCAAUUUUAGUAUAAAAUUUCACUUUUGUUAUAUUAUAGUUCAUGGUUUGAGAGAUAAGAGAGCAAGGUCACCGGAUUCCAAAUCUAGACAAAAAAUAUUGUUGGCGUCGAUUUUGACCAUAAAAAUGAUCGAUUUAUAUGUCAAAUGAUUUCAUUUGAUGAUGGGAUUUCAGCUUAAGUGUUUUUUACUUUAAAAAUAUAUAUGGGCUCAAGAGAUUGUUCAUUUUUGGUUGAUUUUGAGUUUUGAGAUAGUUUUUUUUAUGUCAUAGACAUGUUUAUCAAAGUUCAUAUGUUUUUUUCUAGGUAUUUUGGGUAAAAAAAAAUUAAAAAUGAGUUUUUGAAUGAAAAAACCUCAAAUCUUGAUUUUUCUGCCACCACAAUAAUCAAAAUAUGAGGAAAAUCAUACGAUGCAUCAUCUAAUUUAAUUUUCUUUCAAAAAGAAAGGAGGGGGGGGGGGACUUUGCAAUGAAAGAGAAUUAUGGGUCUAAGCAUGUGGGCCUACCUUGACAGACUUGUACACGGGCCCUAACAAGAUUAGUCGAAUGGGGUGGCUCGGCUUGUCAAGCCUAGUAACACUUGAGCUUUUUUUUUUUUUUUUUAAAUUAAUACUUUUUUAUAUUCUUUUUUUCAAGUUUAAUAUUUUAUUUAUAAUUAAAUUAAUAUAUUUUCUCUCUUUUAUUUUGUUGAUAUAGCCUCUUUAAAAUUACAAUUAUUUUUUAAUUAUUUUGUAUGCAUUUAUUUUUAAAAUAUAUUAUUAUAAUUCAUCUAUAAAUGUUUUUUGUGUUUUAUAUGAAUAAAAAAUAUUUAUUUAUUUAUUUAUAAUAUUUCUAACAUGUGUAAUCUUACAUGAUAUUGUUUUUAAUUCAAUCAAUUUUACAUGUAUUUAUUUUUAUUAUUGUUUAAUUGAAUGAAAAUUUGAUUUUGAUAAACAAUGAUAUUUAAUACAAUCAGAUGAAAUGCUUGUAUUGUAAUGUUAAAGAUCUUGAUUUAUAUAUGUUUAUCGAUAUUUCAAUUUUAUCUUUAUUUAUUGUUAAUAAUAUUUUAUUUUUUAUUUUUUUAAUACACAUUAUUCUCAAUAUAUUUGAUUAUAUUUAUGCAUCAGUUUUUUUUUAUGCUUAUAAUUUUUUUUAUGUACAAAUACAUGUUGGAAAAAUCUUCAUAUAUCAUUUUUUUAUAUAUAAAAAAUAUGUUUGAUGCACUAACACGUGAGAGCUUUCACUUUUAAUUUGCAUAAUAAAAGAUUUGUUUUUGUCCUUUUUUUUUUUAUUGAUCCUUUUAAUAUUGCACUGAUCUUAUAUUGAUUUUUACGAUUUGAUUUUAUGCCAAUGAUGGGACCUUUUAGUGCUGGGGAAAUAUUACGUGCUUGGUUGAUUCUCAAUUUUUAAUAAAAUCAAAAUCAAUUGCAUUCGUAUAAAAGAACUAGAAAUUCAGGUAUUGGAAUUGAAAGACUAAAUAAAUGUGCUAUUCCUUUUGUUUGCUAACAUUGAGAAUUGAUUUGCAUAUUCAAUGAAAAAAAAAUCAAAUUCAAUUUUAGCAGUGGAUUGAUUGCCAUGAUCUAGCUAGCAGAAUUUGCUAGUGUUUUUUUAAUUAAUUUUUUAAUUUAAUCAUUUUAUAUUUAAAUUGUUGAAAUUUGACAUAAUAAUUUUUUUGUAAUUGCUUUGUGGGGUUAUUUUAACAUUAUAACUUGAGUUAUGGUUUUAACAUACUAAUUAAAGUUGAUUCGAAUUAAUUUUUAUAUAUUGAAUUAUAUAAGAAUUGAAUUUGUAAUUAUUCUUUUGCGAGAACUUUUUUAAGCAGGUCACGCUAACCUUUUUUUUAUCUUAGCCUGCAACGGCAUAACACGAACAAUCUAUCUAGUGUUAUUACUGAAAGAUCACAUGGCCAACCCAAAAAGUUCACGAAGAACACACAAUCAAAAACGCAAAAAAACAAAAGGGUUUCUUGAAUUUCAACCAAAGAAUAUAACAAAACCGAUAAAACAAAAUAAUAAAUGUUUACUUACAGAAGAUUCAUCGACUAAAAUAGAUGGCAAUUUCUUCUCAGUUGCAAUAACAACAACGUUUGCCGCUACAACACCAAAAAAAUAAUAAAAUCAACAACAUAGUACAUUCGAAAAUGACAAGAAAAUGAGAUGGUAGAAGAAACCAAAGCGAAGAGGUCACAUAGAGUAAAUGGUAAGAAUUAACACCAAAGCAAAUAAUUAAUACACUCAGAACCAAAUCUUUUACCGUUAAGAAUUAAUACUGGUAGAAGAAUUUACCUCUAUAUCAUCAAAAUUAAUAUUUGGGAUGUGAGAAAUCUUUUGCCAAUCUUCACCCAUCUCCUCCUUCCCGUAACGUUUCCUUAGAAUGGAGCAACCAUUUAUGUAUAAUUCCUGUAGAGGCGCUGCCAAAACAUAGUCUGGUAGUGCUCUCAACAACGGGCAAUCAACAAUCAUCAACUCUCGAAGUUGUGGCAUAAUGGAUAUUAUUGAAGUUGUGUUGGCAUCCCACUCUUCUACUUCUUGGAGAUGCCAAAAACCAAGAUGUUUUAAUUUGGGGAAAGCAGUGACCCUUGCAAUUUCUCCUUCAUUAAUACUGCCAUUCUCAUCUUUUUCUAUACCUAAAAAUCCAGCAUCCAGCCUUCUCACCUUCAACGAGCUCAAUACCAGGCUUUCAAGGUUGGGCAAUCUUCCCAGCGGAGGCAAAACCUCCAGGUUUUCACAAUCAAAGAGUUCAAGCCCCUGUAAUCUGGUUAAUGUCAUCAUCCAAUUUGGCAAUUCCAACCCUCCGUAACUAGAUAUGGUUAGAUAUUCCAAGUAUGACGGAGGCUGUAAAGCUUCAAUUAAAGAGCCUUCAUUCGCUUGCAACUCUGUUUUCUCUCUGUCGAAAUACAAUCGCAAACGAAGCAGGCGCUUCUUAUUCUUGAGUUGUGCUUCUGCAGCGUCACUCGCAUCUUCUUUACCUCCUCCUAGAUUCCGUAUAGUAAGACUCCCUCCAAUGUGAUUUAAGUCUUUUAAUUCUCUUAGAUUAGCUGCUUUACUUUCAUUCUCACCACCACCACACACAAUAAACAAAUCUAAUGUUUGAAGACAUGUUAUCCUCUCUAUUCCCUUUGGUAUGAAGACCACUCCUGAACCAAAAAUCCGGAGAUGCCUCAAUUUGAUAAGUUUUCCAAUCGUCUUGGGCAAUUCCUUGAGAGACCGACAGAAAGUAACAUCUAGGGAUUGCAGAUUGCAUAAAUCACAACUGGUUUCUGGCAGGGACUCCAACUCUCCACAUUGUGCCAAAUUGAGGUGUCUCAAAUGUAUCAAUUUCCCUACCUCGUUUGGUAUUUCUUUGAUUGAAGACCCUGACAAAUUCAAUGACCUGAUGCAUGUCAACUGCUUGAACAAAUCAGGCAGUGCAGCUCCAAGCGAAGGGUCUCUAGUGUCGAUCAAGAGGCUGCGAAGACCUUUUGCUUUGUGAAUGGACUUGGGAAAAGAGGUCUCCUCUGACAGCAUCAUGCUUAAAUGACGAACCCUUUCAAUUGAAGUCUCCAUUGUUGCUUCUCCAAGUGUAUUGACAUCCACUGUUAGACAUUCAUUUUUUGUCAUAUAUUGGGCAAAAUCAUGCACUAUAUCAUGCAUCUUGAAUCUAAUAUCUUCUCGAUCAUACGUCUCAAAAUCUUGGAAGAAAGAGCGCGCUGCCAAGACUUGAAAGUACUGCUCUCCUACAAGCUCCAUAUCUCCACCUGAAGUCUCCUUGAGGUAACCUUGAGCCAUCCACAUCUUCACCAAUUCAUAUUUUCCCAUCUCGUAGUCUUUUGGAAACAUGGCACAAUACAAGAAACAUCGUCUUACCACAGAAGGUAAAUCGUAGUAACUCAAAAGCAAAGGUAUAAAUAUUCGUCUUUCAACCUGAUCUCUAUCAACCUCAUCUAGCCUCCACAGUUCGCUAGAUAAAACACGAUCCCACUCUUCUCUUGUUCUUUUAGACUGCAUUAGACCUCCUAAUACCUUGGCAGCUAGAGGCAAGCCCUUGCACUUGUUUGCAAUUUUAUCGCCGAUAUCUGUCAAUCUUUCGCGCUCAUCUUCGCUUCUUUCCUGGAAUGCCACAUGAUUGAAUAUUGACCUGCAUAUCUCAUCGGACAAUUUCUCAAUGUUGAUCCGGUGGUCAGUUCCCAUCAUCGUUGCCACAGCGUCCUUACGAGUGGUCACUAGAAUUCUGCUUCCUCGUGCACAGCCUGUGAGAGAUGGUUUCAGUUGUUCCCAUUGUCCAUGAUUUUCUGUCCAGACAUCAUCAAGGACAAGAAGGAACCUCUUUCCCUUAAUGGAUUCAGAAACCCUUCGCAAAAGGGAUUGCAAUCCUACCAAAUCAGAUGCCCUCCCUUCAAGCUCCUCCAGGAUAGCUUUGGCUAUUCUAACCUCAUCAAAUGGUUCUGAAACACACACCCAUAUCUUUUUCUCAAAAUGAGCCGUAACCUCUGAAUCAUUAUAAGCUAGUUGGGCGAGAGUUGUUUUUCCAAUUCCUCCCAGCCCUACUAGAGAGAUGACAUCCACGUCCCGUGCUUCUUGACUACUUUCAGCCAGCAACUUGCUUACAACAUUUCUCUUUUCACCAUCUCGACCAAUCACGCUUGAUUCAUCAACAAAGGAGGUAGUUGUUAGUCGCUGGAGUUCAUCAGUGGCUUUGUACAGAUCAAAGCCAUACUUAGCUCUCUGUUUGGCAAUGUCAUCCACCUUUUCACAAACUUCUUUGAUCUUCAGGGCAAUGUCGCGACGUCGAACCACUUGAUUGAAACAAAAGCAAGGAGAUCCCAGGAAGGAACAUCGUAUCUUCUGUCGGCUGUGAGUAUUUUCUUCAGCUUCCUCCAUUUUCCAUCUAAGAAUUGCAGUGCUCCAUUCAUCUAGCACGUCAUCCAUAUCAUAACAUGCAUCUUUGAGCUUGUCUACCCAAUCUCUUACAGCCUUAUCCUUCACUUGUUUUCUAUCUGCAUCUUCAAGGACAGAUUGGAUAUCAAGGAGAUUGCUUUUCAGCUUGUCACAUUGUUUCUUCACACCCACUACUAGGUUCACCUUUUCUUGUACCUAUUAGUGUACAAAGGAAAAGAAACGUUAAGCAUAGGAAACAUUUCUAUGACAAUUUCACACCCCCUACUAGGUUCACCUCUUCCUGUACCUAGCUAUUAGUGUAGAAAAGACAAGUUCAAGCAUAGGAAACAUUUCUAUUUUGUAUUAAUAUAUUUUAUUGUGAAAUGGAUUUACUAUAUUAAUAAUUUAUAUAUAAAAUAUUUAUUAUAAAUGAUAAUAUUUCUUUUUUCUUUUUAUCAUCAUGAUGAUGAUAUCAGUCUGCACUAUGCUACUGUACAAGAAGGUAUAAAAUGAAUCUUAAAUGGUAAAAUGUAAACCUGUACGUAUGUAUAUAUAUAUAUAUAUAAAGAGUUCAAUGUUCUCACGUGAGAAGGAUUUCUCCUUUGAACCGACAUAAAAUCUGGUUUUCAUUUUACAUUAAACUAUAGAUAUAUGGAUGUAUAAAGGCAAGUGAAUAAAAGGAUCUGCAUUUAUAUAUUUGUGAAGUCAAUUUAGAAAUAAAGGCAUGAUAAUAAGAUUGUGUGAUAACUAUAUAGUUUUAAUUCACACCAAAUACUCACUCGCUAAUCCUUCGAACUUUUUAUUGAUUAUUUUACCUUUAAUAGUUCAGUUUAAAGAGAAUUGGCAACUCUUGUUCAUCUUUUUUGGUUUUCUUAUAUUUGGAAUGAUAUAUUUUCUUUAGGUUAUUUUUAGAAAUAUGAAAACUAAUAAAACUAGAAAAAUAAGUCUUUAAUAAAAUCGAAAUAUAUACUUGAGGAUUUAAAAUAUUAUUUUUAUUUUUUCAAGUUAAAAGUAUUCUUUUUAUGAGAGGAAGAAAAAAGGCUUGAACGUUAUAUAUAUUUCUUAUCUGUGCUUAGGUAAAUCAGGUUAUUGCAGAUGGCAGAAAAAUACCUGUUGAGCAACGAUCGUGGUUAACUGCUCCAAGAUCGGAGAUAGAAGUGCCUCAGCCAUCGUCUGUUUAGUUCUGAUUGGAGAGAGAGAGAGAGAGAGAGAGAGAGAAGCAGUGAUGAUAGGAAGACAGAGAGAAAGAGAGGGUGAAGGGAAGGAGGCGGCUGAUUGUGAAUGGAUUAAUAUACUUGGGGUUUCUCGUUGCAGGUGGAGUUCUUGCAACUUGUAGUUUUUUUUACUAGUGAAGCUUUGUAUUUAGUGUCUCCACAGAAAAAUAUUUUUUAUUUAGUGGCUGAAAGAUUCACAAUUUAUAUUAUAAUUGAUGAUUUUUAUUCUAUGAAAGAACAACAAAUAUAAUUAAAAUAAUAUAUAAAAAUUAUUUUUUAUUAUUUUUUAUUUUAUUUCAAAGUUUAUUAAACAUAAAAUAAUGUUUCGCUUUAAUUAAUGUUUCUUAUAUACUUUGUAUGUUUAUAUUUGAUAGGUAUAGAGAUCAACAACAUUAAAAUGAUGAAUACAUCAUGAAGUUAAAAUUAGCUUCAUUGUUUUGACUUAAUUUGAUAUUGCUCCAAACCUUUUAUAUUAUAUAUUUAUAAUAAGUUAUUUGAAUAAAACUAAAUCAUACUGGUUUUUUUUACAACUCAUAUAUAAUAAAUUAAAAUAAAUAUUAUAUUUUGUUUUAUUAUUUUUGGCCAUUCCAAAAAUAUCAAGGGAAAGUCUUCAAAUGCACAGAGUAAAUCGGAACCCACAGUGAAGUAGCUCUUCAGUAUCUUCUAAGCUCAAGCUGUCAAACACAGACCAAAAGCAAACGUGUCAUAACCAAAACAACCCAAUGAAUGGUAGAUGUUAAAAUGAGCAUUCCAUUUUCUGAAUGACAAAAAUCCCAGUGCCUAGCAAUGACUUACAUAAUUAAUUAAAAUGGAUUUGUUAAAAUAUAGUAAAAUAUUAGACCGUUUAAGAAUUAACACUGUUGGGUUUCGAUAACUUUAUUUGGAUUUAAUCCAUUAAAUCAAUGGGUAUCAUCUUUUAUAGAUGAAUGGUUUAGCUUCCAAGUCUACCAUUCUCUCAUUUAUUUGGACUUAAUCCACUGAAACUGAGGUUUUAUUUGUAAGUAUACACAUCAGGCUCAAGCUUAUCUUCUUGCAUCUGCUCAAAUAUUUCUUCUGCCUUCUCACAGAGUCCCUCUCUAGCAAACGCGUUCACCAGAGCUGUGUAUGUGCAGAUAUCUGGUCUGCAUUUUUGACUUCUCAUUUCGUUAAACAACUUCAAGGCCAUGUAAGAUUGACUUGCCUGAGUACAGGAAAAAGAUUAGCAAAAUGAGUUUUUAAGGAUCCUAAACACCACUGUUGUCCAGUUAUCAGAAUUUAUAACCAUAUCCUUGAAUUUAUUCUGAUAAUUGUUUGAAAUUGAAUGCAUAUAUUUCAAGUUGUUCGUUGUAUCACUGUAGACUCGUAGACGUACGAGUUACGCGUAAUUUUCUACUGGGACCAGUGGCAUUUCAAGAAGAUCAGAUUUGCAGAAUAAUUCAGAACCAAAUACCACUGAGCUUACCUUCCCAUGAAGGUUGAUCAACAGUGUAUAGGUGUCAGUAGAGGGCUGGCAGCCAUCAUUUUUCAUUCGCUGAAAGAUCUCAAUUGCUCUUUGAGGGUUUCCAGCCUUCGUUAACCCAUCAAUAUAAGCAUUGUAUACAAUUGCACCUGGCCAAAAUUAGAGUAUACGCUCACUUUUCACUCUUGAAUGUGCAUGCAAGUGUAUCAACAGAACAGCUUGAAAAACGAAAAUCUGAGAAGUGUAAAUAAGAGAACGAAACACAAAAGCAGAACUAAUGCCCUGUAUUUCACCACCACAAAAAGAAGAGAAAUAACCCACGCAAUCUCAUAAAGGAAAGCUACAGAAGCAAGUUUGUCAUCCAGGAGCCUCUAGCCUAAUCCAGUUCCGGUCUAGCUAAAUUAGCAAGGGGUCCCUCUUGGUUUAAUCAACCAUUCUCUAAGCAUGGUGAUGUAGAUAAGGAGUAGUAAUCACUACUAUUAUAGUAGCAACAAGAAAUAUGCAGACCAUGAACCAAUCUUCUCUUUUCCUACGUUUAGUAUACUUCACCCCCGAAAAGAAAAAAUAAAUACAGCUCUGUGCAAUUAUUGAGCGAGGUUUCAAAAUUUAAAACGAAUUUAACCCCACAAAAAAUCAAUUUUUGAGGAAAAGAAUCUUAAAAGUUGAAGAAAUUUUUGUUUUAUAAGAAAUGGUUGAUCCAAUAACUUCUUGAAAAUACAAUUUCCCUAAAAGCUAAGAAGAAAUGAAUUGGUAAACACAUACUUGGAGGAAGGCUAUACUUUCGCAUAUCAACAAAGGCAGCUUCAGCUUUUUCUAACAAUCCACAUGCACAGUAAGCCUUUAUAAGAAGGGCAUAAGUGUCUUCAGUAGGGAUACACCUGGCUUGAAGAAGAUCAACAUAUGUUUCUUCUGCCUUCUUGUACAAAGAUUUUUGCCCAUAAGCAUCUAUUAGUAAAUUGUAGCACAUGACAUCUGUCUGGAAGGAGCUCUUGUACAAUAUCCAUUGACAUAUCUGGAAAUUUUAGAGUUACACCCAACAAGAUUAUUAAGAAUUAAGAACAAACGAUAUCAAAAAUGUCUAUAUAAUAAAUAGAGACAGUAAAGAGAUUUGUUUCAUUUAGUUGUAGGAAAAUGCUGGUAUAUGAGAAUUCCAAACACCAACUGCAGCACCAACCACUUAAAGGAGAUUUGAACAAUCGAGGAUUCAGUCUUAAUGGUUGAAGAGAAAAAUACUGUGCAAAAUACUGUGCCACAAAAAUAUGUGCGUGCAAGGUGGUUUAAUCCAUCGCCUACCACCUUACACUAUGAAAGAAAUAAGGCACGAUUUACUCACCAAUGCAAUCGGAUCCCAUUGUUUAUUCAAACGAAGUUGGACGGCUACAUUAAUAAGAUCAUCCCAAGUCUCGUGAGUGACAGGAAGAGUAUCAAGAGCAGCCCAAACAUUAUUCGGAUCCACUUCUUUCCGCACAAAGUUCAGAAUCUGAUGAGCAACAGGACUUAGCACGGGAAAAUUCCAUCAACAAAUCCAGAUCCAUAUUUCCAUCCUUGUCCCCUCAAAGAGCCACCUAGGUAAAUUAGACGACUUAAUAAUUAAAGCCAUAUUUGCUUGAGAGUUAUAUGUAUGAGCACAAAGUGAAUUACUCCGUAUUACAUCGUUUCCUGGACAUCUUUUUGUGAUCAAAGAUUCGCCAUUUGCCAUGUUUGUCGAUAUAGACCCUGUCGCUUUUCCACUUUUUAACAUCUCCACUACUGGAAUUCUUUUCUCUGCGUCUGAAAUGACCAUUCCGGAUUCUUGAUUCUAUAAAAAUAUGAUUCAGAGUGCAUCUAACAAGCAACCUGCAAACACUAAUCAAGUAAACACACAAUUGCCAGCAACAAAAUACACACCUCUUAAUUUAAAGCCAUUACACGGAGGAAGCAACCAAAUAAAAUCCAUAUAAAGGAUGCUUUAGACUUCAAAAUAAUUGGACAAAGAGAGACACUAAAACUACUUUUAAUCACAAUAGCAAACACAUGAAAUGCAAACCAGAAAACCUAGUUAAAAAGAAGAAGAAAAGUAGUCAACUUUCCCUUUCUAAACCAAAUAUCUUCUCCCUUUCUUCCGCAAUAAUUCUUAACUGCUGUGAGUAUAGGUUGUAUUUUCAUUACAGAAUCAAAUAUUAGUCUAAUCUAUCUGAUUAAACUACAAAAAUCAAAAUUUGCAAGAUAAACAAGGCCACAACUGUUGAAGACUGGUUAGAGUUCAACAACGAUAAGCAUAGCACUCUGACAGCUAAAACUGGUCCAUCAUCUUAAAACUUAUGAAGUCACAGUAAGACUUUUUAGAUAAUGAUGAUUGCUCGUUCAAUACAUAUGAGAGCCAACAAAAUGCUAAAAUGUUUAAUUAACAAGAACAUAAAACAAAUUAGACAUCCUCUCUCAAGUGAACGUUGAUACUUAGCAAUUCCAUUGAAACCCAUUUCUCAGAACCAGAAAUUCCAUGAAAAAGCAAUAUUAUCCAGCAAGAGGAGAAAGAACCACCAGAAUUGAAGUUAAUAAAUACAGAAAAUAACAAGGCAGCAUGAACAGCAUUAGCAGUGGCAUUGCAUUACGAAAGAGAGGAAGGAAGGACACGACUUACAUGAAAGUAUAAAAGAGGAGUUUGGAGUUGGGUAUCUGUAAACAUCCAGCAAGCAAGAAGAUAUGUGAACUGAAGAGUGUUUUCUUGGAUAAUGGACUCCGUGGGUGAAGACCAGCACUGCCAGACAAAAGUAGCUUCUGUUUUUUUCUGUUUACUAAGGGACAAAAGCCUCAAAAUAUCUCUAACGAACUUAAGGAGUCAAACAAUAGCAUUAUUGUAGCCUCGUGGUGUCUGAGGUUGCAUGGGAUUCUAUAUUGAGACAGUAGCUGAUUAUACAAUGGUUGAUUUAAAAUAACCAACACUACCUUUUUAUACAAAGUGGGAUUGAUGAGGAUAUAAAUCUACACACUCCAACAUUCAAAGUCCCAAUCUUAGAGUCAUUGAUUAGUAUAGUAACGCCUCAUUGGCAAGAACCCAAAUCACUAAGCUCAAAUUACUAAUAAAAAUUACAAAUUUACACCGAAUUUGAACAGAUUUCUACCAACCGAUGUCACUAAAGAAAACACAAAAAAAAAAAAAAAACGCAAAAAAACAAAAGGGCUUCUUGAAUUUAAACCAAAGAAUAUAACAAAACCAAUAAAAAAAAUAAUAAAUGUUUACUUACAGAAGAUUCAUCGACUAAAAUAGAUGGCAAUUUCUUCUCAGUUGCAACAACAACACCGCUUGCCGCUACAACACUAAAAAAAUAAUAAAAUCAACAACAUAGUAUCUAAGCACCCAUCAACAACAUAGUGCAUUCGAAAAUGACAAGAAAAUGAGAAAAGAGAGAGAGGGAGCUUAAAUUGCACCAACCUUUGAUUCCGAGAGAAGUUUGGCCUGAUCCAACGGCAGUCAAUGCGUGCUCAAUCUGUACUAGCUUUCCGGUAGGACUGAAAGUAGUGAGAGAAAAGGAGUACUGGCUAUCACCCAUGGUUUAUUGCUUGAAGACGCAGAGAGGAAAAACUGUGAAUGCGAGUGUGUGGGAGGGAAAGACAGGGAUAUUUACUUGGGGUUUUAACUUUGCUUUUCUCGUUGGAGAAGAAGGUGUUUUCUUACGAGGGCUUUUACAAUGGAGUAUUAUGGGAUUUUAUGACGGCAGGUUGAUCCUCUGUACAUUGAGCUCAAUGAAGGCUCGGGACCAGUUUUGUUUUCAAGUAUUAUUAACAAAUAUUUAUUUAUUUAUUAAUAUACAUAAUUUUUAAUUUAUUUAAUAACAUUUAUAUAUAAUUUUUAAUUUAUUAUAUUUUUGAACUAGAAAAAUAUAUUUAAAGAACUGCAUAUAUAAAUUUUUAUAAAAAAUAAAAUAUUUGACUCACAAUAAAUUAUCCAUAUUUUUAUUAAAAAAAUAAAGUUGGGUAAACUCUUAAUUAGGCCUUGCUACUGAAUUUUGUUGUUGAUUUGUAAUUUAAUUAUUGUUGAAGAUUUUUUGUGUUAGGUUUGGAUAACUUUAUUUGGAUUUAAUCUCCAAAAUCGAAGAGUAUCAUCACUUAUAGAUGAAUGGUUUAGCUUCUCUCAUUUAUUUGGAUUUUAAUCCACUGAAACUGAGGUUUAAGAGUUUCUUGGAUUUAAUCCACUGAAACAGUUGCUUGAUCAAGAUCAUUGGCUUGUUUGAAGGCAGAUAAAGGCAUACAAAAAAAAAGCGAGAGAGAGCGAGAAAGAGAGGAUGUGAGAAAUAAUUAUAGAUAUGAGUUACAGUAGUUGAAACAAAUGAAUUACAGAUCAUUUUAUGGUGAGAGAGAAAGAGAGAGAGAGAGAGAGAAUGUGAGAAAUAAUUAUAUCAUCUUAGAUUACAGAUCAUUUUGAGAAAAUCUAAAAGAAAGUAUCAUCUUAGAUUAAUUAUAGAUAUGAGUUACAGUAGUUGAAAUUUCAAAGGCAAUUUUUUAGAGUAAAGAGGAAAUAAUAUGUUGAGAUGAUGCGAGAGCCCAAUUACAGUAAAGAGGUCAUAUAUUAUUUACACUCAACCUUAGCAAACACCAAAGCAAAACAAAUUAAAUUAAUACACUCAAAGCAGGUUCUAAAGAGUUGUGCCAAUCUUCACCCAUCUCCUCCUUCCCGUAACGUUUCCUUAGAUUGGGGCAACUCUUUAUGUGUAACUCCUGUAGAGGCGCUGCCAAAACAUAGUCCGGUAGUUCUCUCAACAACGGGCAAUUACUAAUCAUCAACUGUCGAAGAUGUGGCAUAAUGGAUAUUAUUGAAGUUGUGAUGGCAUCUUCUUCUCCCACUGAUCUCCUUUCAAUUCCAUCCCACUCUUCUACUUCUGUGAGACUCACAAUUUGUUGUCUCCGUGGACGUACCCGGUUUUUGGGAACCACGUAAAUCUGUUGUUUGUGUUUUAUUUGUGUUUGCUUUUGGUUCAGUAUGCAUAACAAAUUGGUAUCAGAGCGUUUGGGAAGCUAGAACACUGAAAAAAACACGUUUUUCAGCUCUCGGAUCGAAGUUGCAGAAUUUUCAAAGUUCUCAGAUCUUGAUUUUGACCACCUACAGAGAUUCCUCUCGUCGAUACGAGUCCGGCAAUAUAAAGAUCAUCGAAAUCGGAGUUAAAACGAUCCCUGUAGAGCUCGCCGAAGUUUCGCCGGAAAACUGCCGGAAAAACCAGACUGCCGGAAUUCUUGCCUGAGAAGACUGCCACGUCAUCCGCCACGUCACCAAACAGUGACAGAAUAUGCUCUUGACAGAAUGAGAAUAUUCCGUUAACAGAGACAGAAUAUUCCUUUGGCAGUGACAGAAUAUUCUCUUGACAGUGACAGAAUAUUCCCUUGGAUUUGACAGAAUAUUCUUUAUCAGAGACAGAAUAUUCCUUUCCUGAGUCAACUCGGUCAGAUUUGUUUUUUGGCCAACUCAGUGAUUUUAUAUCCCGUUUUUUGGCCAAGUUAAGCUUGUUCCUAGCAUUUUCAACCGUUCCGGACGCAACCGUGGUGUCCGUUUUGUGAAACAGCACACAGAAGUUACUGUUUUGGCUCUUUUGAGCAUAAAAUUGUGUGUUUUAACAAUUUCGGGAGUCCAUUUGUAAUCUAAAGGCGUCCUAAUGGCUGAUAUUCCAGAAGAAAAAUCAGCGGGGAAUGCUAGUAUACCUCCACAAUACAUCCCGGUAUCGAAUACCAAAUUUGAGGUGGAGAAGUUUGACGGGAAAGGUAAUUUUGGCAUGUGGAAAUGUGAAGUUAUGGAUAUGCUUGUCCAAAUGAAUUUGGAUUUCACUCUAGAAGAUAAACCAAGAGGAUUUGGAUGAGAAAAGCUGGGGGAGGAUAAAUCGGUUAGCUUGCAGUUCCAUCCGACUUUGUCUUGUAAAAGAUCAAAAGUACGCCUUUUCAGAACAAAACUCUGCAAAGGAAUUAUGGCAAGCACUGGAGGACAAGUUUAUGAAGAAGAGUAUAGAGAAUCGUCUCUACUUGAAGAAAAGAAUCUUCCGUUUUCAGCACAAGAAAGGUACUUCCAUGAAUGAGCAUCUGAAUGAUUUCAAUAAAAUGAUAGCUGAUUUGAAGAAUUUAGAUGUGGAAAUAGAUGAUGAAGAUAAAGCUCUGUUAUUAUUGAAUUCACUGCCUGACACAUAUGAACAUCUCGUCACCACUUUACUGUAUGGUAAAGAAAAGAUUAAAUUCAUUGAUGUGUCCAAUGCUUUGGUGAAUAAUGAGUACCGGAAGAAGGACCAGAUUGUUCACAAGGAGUCAACGUCAGAAGCAUUGACAGUUAGAGGCAGAACAAACCCUAGAAGAUUUCGAGGGCGAGGGAGAUCUCGCUCAAAAUCUAGAGGAGAAUCAUCAAACAGGCGAUAUCUUGCAAAAGAUGAGUGUGCCUUUUGUCACAAAAAGGGGCACUGGAAGAAAGAUUGUCCAAUCAAGGGCAAUAAGGAAAAAGAUGAACCAACUGUGAACGUUGCACGAGAAGAAGAUGAACGAGACUCUGCAUUCAUGGUCUCAUCACCAGAAAAACAUUGUGGUGAAUGGAUUCUUGAUUCUGCAUGUUCUUAUCACAUGUCCCCUAACAAGCACUUAUUCUCGAGACUUGAGGAGUUCGAUGGAGGAGUUGUGUUUAUGGGCAAUAAUAAUGUUUCUGAGGUCAAAGGGAUUGGGACUAUCCAUCUGAAGAUGCAUAAUGGGGUAGUCAAGACACUAACAGAGGUACGGUAUGUACCUGACUUGAAGAAAAAUCUCUUCUCACUUGGAGUCCUAGAAUCCAGUGGUUAUAAGAUUAUCAUGCAUGGUGGAGUCCUCAGAGCAAUCCGUGGUGCAUUAGUUGUCUUAAGAGGCACGAGGAUAGGAAACUUAUAUUUCCUAGAUGGAUCUACUGUUACUGGUAUAGCAGCUGUUUCCAAAAGCCUAGAAGAUGCUGAAGCAGAUAAUUCCAGACUUUGGCACAUGCGCUUAGGGCAUGCUGGUGAAAAGGCUUUGCAAGGACUAGUCAAGCAAGGUCUAUUAAAAGGCGCCAAGACUGGGAAGCAUGGGUUCUGUGAGCAUUGUGUUCUUGGAAAACAGACAAGGGUCAAGUUUGGCACUGCAAUACACAACACAAAAGGGAUUCUAGAUUAUGUUCACACAGAUGUAUGGGGACCUUCAAAGAAUGAAUCUCUUGGAGGUAAUCGUUGGUUUGUUACUUUUAUUGAUGAUUUCUCAAGACGAGUAUGGGUGUACAUGAUGAAACACAAGGAUGAGGUCCUUGAUAUCUUUCUGAAAUGGAAGAAAAUGGUGGAGACUCAAACGGGAAGGAGAGUUAAGACUCUUCGGUCAGAUAAUGGUGGUGAGUACACUUCAGAUCCUUUCUUUGAAGUUUGCCAGGAUGAAGGGAUCAAGCGACAUUUUACUGUGCGCAAAACACCACAACAAAAUGGAGUAGCAGAACGCAUGAACCGCACAUUGGUGGAGAAAGUCCGAUGUAUGCUAUCACAUUCGGGACUAAGCAAAGUGUUCUGGGGCGAGGCAUUAAGCUAUGCCGUCAUAUUGUUAAUCGGUUACCUUCAGCAGCAUUAAAUGGAAGAACCCCCUUGGAGGUAUGGUCAGGCUCUCCUGCAAAUGAUUAUGACUCUAUGCGUAUAUUUGGUUGCUCAGCAUAUUAUCAUGUUACUGAGUUAAACUAGAUCCUAGAGCCAAGAAAGCUAUAUUUUUGGGCUUUAGUGGAGGAGUAAAAGGUUACAGACUCUGGUGUUCUGAAUCAAAGAAAGUGAUUUUGAGUAGAGAUGUCACUUUUGAUGAGUCUGGCAUGUUACAGCAGGAGAAAUCACAGGAGAAGGAAAAACAGUCUGGUGAUGCACAACAGGUGGAGUUGGAGACUUCAGUCAUCCCUAUAAAGACUGUUCAGACAAUCCCUACUGAAGGAGAUUCAGAUGAAAGUUCAGAUGAAGAGGAUGCAACAACUCCAGCAACCACACAACAAGAAUCCAUUGCAACGAGUAAACCGAAAAGAGUUAUCAAGAAACCUGCUCGGUAUUGUGACAUGGUGGCUUAUGCACUUCCAGUGAUUGAUGAUGGAAUCCCCUACACCUACAAAGAAGCAGUACAGAGUGUAGAAAGUGCAAAAUGGAAAGAGGCAAUGGAUGAAGAGAUGAAAUCUCUCCACAAGAAUCAGACUUGGGAUUUGGUACAACUCCCUAAGGAAAAGAAGACAAUUGGUUGCAAGUGGGUAUAUGCCAAGAAGGAAGGUAAUCCUGGAAAAGACAACAUCCGAUUCAAAGCAAGAUUGGUAGCAAAAGGCUAUGCUCAGAAGGAGGGGAUAGAUUAUAAUGAGGUAUUCUCUCCAGUUGUUAAGCAUUCAUCAAUUCGUAUUUUGCUAGCCUUAGUUGCACAAUUUGAUUUGGAGUUAGCCCAACUUGAUGUGAAAACUGCCUUCCUACAUGGAGAUUUGGAAGAGGAAAUUUACAUGUCUCAGCCAGAUGGUUUCAAAGUCACUGGGAAAGAGAAUUGGGCUUGUAAACUGAAGAAGUCAUUGUAUGGCUUGAAACAAUCUCCUCGCCAGUGGUAUAAGCGAUUUGAUAAGUUCAUGACAGAACAUGGAUACACACGGAGUCAGUUUGACAACUGUGUAUAUUUUCGCAGACUUCUUGAUGGUUCUUUCAUCUAUUUGCUCUUAUAUGUGGAUGAUAUGUUGAUUGCAUCAAAGAGCAAGGUGGAGAUUGAUAGACUGAAAGCUCAACUGAGAACUGAGUUUGAAAUGAAGGACCUUGGAGAAGCUAAGAAGAUUCUUGGCAUGGAGAUUCAGAGAGACAGAAGAAAAGGCACAGUCUGUUUGACACAGACCCAAUACUUGAAGAAACUUCUACAGAGAUUUGGGGUAGAUGGUAAGACCAAGCCGGUAAGCACACCUUUAGCUCCUCAUUUUAAGCUAAGUGCUUCAAUGUCUCCACGCACAGAGGAAGAGCGCAAACAUAUGGCUCAAAUUCCGUAUGCAAAUGCAGUUGGUGCAUUAAUGUAUGCAAUGGUUUGUACGAGACCAGAUAUUUCACAUGCUGUCAGUAUGGUGAGCAGGUAUAUGCAUGAUCCGGGAAAGGGUCACUGGCAGGCAGUUAAGUGGAUUCUACGGUACAUUCAUGGCACAACUGAUAUUGGUUUGAAGUUUGAGAGGGAUGAUAGACUCGAGCAAAAUUUAGUUGGUUAUGUGGAUUCGGAUUAUGCUGGUGACUUAGACAAGCGUCGUUCCACAACAGGCUAUGUGUUUACACUUGCUAAAGGGCCUGUAAGUUGGAGGUCAACUUUACAAUCAACAGUAGCUUUGUCAACAACUGAGGCAGAGUACAUGGCAGUAACAGAAGCUUUCAAGGAAGCUAUUUGGUUACAUGGGUUGAUUGAAGAUUUGGGAAUUGUUCAAGAGCACGUGGAUGUCCAUUGUGAUAGUCAAAGUGCUAUUUGUCUUGCAAAGAAUCAGGUUCAUCAUUCCCGCACCAAGCACAUCGAUGUUCGAUUUCAUUUUGUUCGAGAAAUUGUGGAUGAAGGGGAUAUUCUGCUACAGAAAAUUGUACUAUAGAUAAUCCAGCUGACAUGCUCACAAAAUGUGUCUCAGGGAUCAAGUUCCAACAUUGUUUGGACUUGGUCAACAUCUCUCGGUGUUGAGCACCUUCAGGGUGCAAUGCCAUAUGGCGCAAUGGAGGCGGCAUUGAUUAAUCACGAGUAUUGGAUGGAAAAAUCUUGCAAAGGUGGAGAUUUGUAGCAAAUUGUCAACAUUUGAAAAUUGUCAACAUUUUUCUCAACAACCCUCUCCUUUACUCAACCACUAUCAACCACCCUCUCCUUCUUUUUGACCAUUAUCACUUCUCAUCAAGGUGCUGCCAAAGCUCUCCUAUAAAGACAGAGACGAGAGAGUGCAGGGUAGAAGAGAGGAAGUGUCAAGUGCAGAGGAAGUGUGGUGAGUGCAAGUGAGUGCAACUGUGAGAGUGAAAAAUACAGAUUUGAGAGAAACACAGAGUGUUAGAGUGAAACACUGGGUUUUGUGGGGAUUGUAUUGGGGUUGAGUUGAGUGUUUGUAUUAUUCCUCCAAUAAUAUACAAUCUGUUGUCUCCGUGGACGUACCCGGUUUUGGGAAACCACGUAAAUCUGUUGUUUGUGUUUUAUUUGUGUUUGCUUUCGGUCCAGUAUACACAACACACGUUUCUACACUAACGGAGUGUAAGCACCUGUAAUCUGGUUAAUGUCAUCAUCCAAUUUGGCCAUUCCAACCCUCCGUAACUCCAUAUGAUUAGAUUUUCCAAGUCUGACGGAGGCUGUAAAGCUUCAAUUAAAAUGCCGUUCUCCUGGUUGUAGUAGAAAUCCAAUUCCAAACGAAGCAGGCGCUUCUUAUUCUUGAGUUGUGCUUCUGCAGCGUCACUCGCAUCUUCUUUACCUCCUCCUAGAUUACUUAUAAUAAGACUCCCUCCAAUGUGAUUUAAGUUUUUUAAUUCUCUUAGAUUAGCUGCUUUACUUUCAUUCUCACCACCAGCACACACAGUAAACACAUCUAAUGUUCGAAGACAUGUUAUCCUCUCUAUUCCCUUUGGUAUGAAGGCCACACCUGAAUCAUAAAUCCGGAGAUGCCUCAAUUUGAUAAGUUUUCCAAUCGCCUUGGGCAAUUCCUUGAGAGACCGACACCAAGUAACGUCUAGGGAUUGCAGAUUGCAUAAAUCACACAUGGUUUCUGGCAGGGACUCCAACUCUCCACACCAUGCCAAAUUGAGGUGUCUCAAAUGUAUCAAUUUCCCUACCUCGUUUGGUAUUUCUUUGAUUGAAGACCUUGUCAAAUUCAAUGACCUGAUGCAUGUCAACUGUUUGAACAAAUCAGGCAGUGCAGCUCCAAGCGAAGGGUCUCUAGUGCCGAUCAAGAGGCUGCGAAGACCUUUUGCUUUGUGAAUGGACUUGGGAAAAGAGCUCUCCUCUGACAGCAUCAUGCUUAAAUGACGAACCCUUUCAAUUGAAGUCUCCAUUGUUGCUUCUCCAAGUUUACUGGCAUCCACUGUUAGACAUUCAUUUUUUGUCAUAUAUUGGGCAAAAUCAUGCACUAUAUCAUGCAUCUUGAAUUUCAUUCCUUCAAACCAAUGCCUCUCAAAAUCUUGGAAGAAAGAGCGCGCUGCCAAGACUUGAAAGCACUCCUCUCCAACAAGCUCCAUAUCUCCACCUGAAGUCUCCUUGAAGUAACCUUGAGCCAUCCACAUCUUCACCAAUUCAGAUUUUCCCAUCUCGUAGCCUUUUGGAAACAUGGCACAAUACAAGAAACAUCGUCUUACCCUUGCACUUAUUUGCAAUUUUAUCGCUGGUUUCUGUCAAUCUUUCGCACUCAUCUUUGCUUCUUUUAUUGAAUGCCACCUGAAUGAAUAUGGACCUGCAUACCUCAUCAGACAAUCUCUCAAGGAUGAUCAUGUGGUCGGUUCCCAUCAUGGUUGCCACAGAAUGUUUACGAGUGGUCACUAGAAUUCUGCUUCCUGGUGCUCCGCCUUUGAGAGAGUGUUUCAGCGGUUCCCAUUGUCCAUAAUUUUCUGUCCAGACAUCAUCUAGGACAAGAAGGAACCUCUUUCCCUUAAUGGAUUCAGAAACCCUUUGCAAAAGGGAUUGCAAUUCAACCAAAUCCGGUGCCCUCCCUUCAAGCUGCUCGAGGAUAGCUUUGCCUAUCCUAACCUCAUCAAAUGGAUCUGAAACACACACCCAUAUCUUCUCAAAAUGAGCCGUAACCUCAGCAUCAUUAAAAGCUAGUUGGGCGAGAGUUGUCUUUCCAAUCCCGCCCAUCCCUACUAUAGAGAUGACCUCUACGUCCCCUGCUUCCUGAAUACUUUCGCCCAGCAACUUGCUUACUACAGCUUCCCUUUCAUCAUCUCGACCAGUCACGAUUGAUUCAUCAACAAGGGAGGUACUUGUUAUUCGUUGGAGUUCAUCAGUGGCUCUGUACGGAUCAAAGCCAUACAUAGCUCUCGCUUUCGCAAUGUCAUCCACUUUUUCACAUACUUCUUUGAUCUUGAGGGCAAUGUCUCGACGUCGAACCACUUGAUUGAGACAAAAGCAAGGAGAUUUCAGGAAGGAACAUCGCAUCUUCUGUAGGCUGCGAGUAUUUUCUUCAGCUUCCUCCAUUUUCCAUGUAAGAAUUGCUGAGCUCCAUUCAUCUAGCACGUCAUCCAUAUCAUAACAUACAUCUUUGAGCUUGUCUACCCAAUCUCUUACAGCCUUAUCCUUCACUUGUUUUCUAUCUGCGUCUUCAAGGAUAGAUUGGAUAACAAUGAGAUUGCUUUUCAGCUUGUCGACUUCGUUUCUUCACACCCCCUACUAGGUUCACCUCUUCAUGUACCUAUUAGGGUAGAAAAGAUCAGAAAGUUCAAGCAGAGGAAACAUUUCUAUGAUUUCAAUACAAGUUUUUUUAUUUUAAUUUUUCGUAAUUAAUAGAUUAAAUAAUUUUUAUUAAUCUUUUUUUUUGCAGUAGUUGACACGUGCUGUGAAAUGGAUUGGCUAUAUUAAUAACUUAUAUAUAAAAUAUUUAUUGAAAACUUAUAUAUUAAAGAUAAUGCUUCUUUUUAUCAUCAUCAUGAUGAUAUCUCUCUGCACUCUGCUACUAUACAAGGAAGAAAAUGAAUCUUAAAUUGUUCCAAUCAAAGAAAUAUAGUGAUUAAAAGGAUCUGUAUUUGUUGGUAUUUGUAAAGUCUAUUUGGAAAUAAAUAUUCUUCCUUUAAAGUGAACUAAUUAUUUUAACAUUUGAUUGAUUAUUUUACCCUUAGCAGUUCAGUUUAAUGAGAGGAUUGACAACUCCUUUUUCCUUCUAAAGAUUAUUUCCAGAAAUAUGAAAAAUAAUAAAACAAUAAAAAUAAAUUUCCUUAAUAAAAUCCAAAUCUAGAUCUGAGUAUUUGAGAUUUUAUUUUAUUUUUAUGGUAGAGGAACAAAAAAAGACUUCAUUUUUAUAUUUCUUAUUCAUGUUAGGUUAAUUGGAUCAUUGCAAAUUGUAGAAAGGCAAUUACCUGUUGAGCAACGAUCCUCGUUAACUGCUCCAGAAUUGGCGAUAAAAGUGCCUCUGCCAUUUGUCUGUUUACUUUUAUUUUAUUUCUUAAAAAAAGAGAGACAAUGAUGAUAGGAUGAACAGAGAGGGAGAGAGAAGAGAGUAUGAGGGGAAGGAGGCUGCUGAUUUAGUUAGUUUAGAGCGGAGAAGCUAAAUGAAUAGCUAAAAAUAAAAAAUUAAUAUUUUAGUUUUUCUUUACUUGUUUUAUACACUCCAAGAAAAAAGUCAAAUAAAAUACUAAAAUACCUUUUUUCUCCCACAAAUGUUAUUCCUAUAUAUCUCUCAAAAGAGCCAAAAUUAAUCAAGUGGGGCCAACAAAAGAAUAAACCAAUUAAAUCUAGCCAUGUGAAAAAAAAAUAACAUCAAAAUCAUUAAAAAAAAUAAAACACUUCUUUAUUCUACUCUAAUAGAAUUGGCUUUUUAAAUGGCUUUUUUUCCAUUAGAAUAUACAUGAUAAAAAAAGUUAUAUUUAUACUAUUCAAAAUGCUAUUUUAUCAAUUUAUCUUUUUAAAAUAGCAUUUUACUUUGGAGAUGUUCUUAUAUGUGCUUAGGGUUUGGUGGUGAGGGUUGACUUUUGUUUCAAUGCCUGCGCUGUUUCUAACAUUUCAAUUCAGUCCCUAUAUUAUUGAACUUUUCAGUCUAGUGUCGGUCAGGGUUUUGUUAACAGGAAAAGGAUUGCAGGGAUGGCUGGUCUGAGUGAUGGAAGCUGGCUGAAGCUGGGGCUGUGUGGAUAUCAGUUAAAUUUUGAUGCAGGCUCUUGAACUAGAAACCAUGUAUUAGUUGUCUCAUAUAGGACACUUUACUAUUACAUUUUGAUGCUGGCUCUUGAACCAUUACCCUCUUCGCUCCAGUUGAGAAGAAUUUUUAAUUUAUAUUCCUGAUGAUCAUCGUUAUGCUAUGUAAUGUAGUGAUUCAAUCGCGCCAUUUCUUAUGUUUAGAAAUCUAUGUUUUGGUAACUUGUCUCUUGUUUUUUUUUUUUUCUUGUUGGGUUGCUCAGGUGCUAUCUACAUUGAUUCUGAUAUCAUAGUUUUGAAUUCAUGGUCUUCACUUAAUAACACGAUUGGUCUGGAGAAUUCUACUGAGAGAUUAUCGCAUUCUACUGAAAUUCCUGAAAUUGAUUAUAGCAUUCUACUGAAAUUCCUGCUUCUCAUCUGUUUCUCCAUUUCUUCUCUUCAUUUAAUGUUUAUCUGGUAUCAGUAGCAUGUGCUGGUCAUGGCAAAAAAGUAUGGAAGGAUUGCUGGUUUGCGUGAAUGGAGCUCCUUUAAAUGGGAGGUUCGUUUGUGAAGGGGAGCAAAUGGGUGUGAAAAGGACAAGAAAUGAGGAAAGAAUUCAUAUUGUCUGGACCACAUCACCUUCCUUUCUUCUUCUUUUUUUUGUUUUCAUUCCUUUUUUAUUGUCUCUUUCUACUUUUUCAUAAUGAAAUUCAGAUCUAAAUUACAGAGGAAAUCAGCAUGCUAGAUUCAGCAGCGUUUGGGGUCAGAAUGCCAUUGUUGGGAAGAAGACAACAAAUUAUGUGUAGCUUAGCAGCCAUUGUUGCUGCUUCAGGAACACCAAACUCCCUUGUCAAAAAACUGGAUCCAUAUGCAUUUUGCAAUUAAGUCAUUAUGCUUUAAACUCAUUCUAUGUGUCUUUCCUUACAAAAAAAAAAAAAAAAAAUGGUUAUUUGCUGUCUUCAAACCCGAGAGUUUCGUUGCGUUCUGUUUCAAUUCAGUCAGUCUUUAUUAGUCAAUGCUUCGUAGAACAGAGGCACCUCAUUGCAGAGUGCGGGUACAAAACUAGUGUUGAGGUGAGGUCAUAUGUCCUACCAAAAUGGAUUUUGAUCAUAAUAAUUAGAAGAAGAAAAAAAAACAACAUUAAUAAUUGAUCAUCGUGGCUACAAAAUGAAGUGGAACUAAUAAUUAAUGGAGUGUAUAUAAUAAUCAUAAUCAUAAUAAUACUAAAUAAAAUGAAUUACUAUGUGUAUUCUAUAAUUUAGUUAUAUAAUAUAGCAGAUCUGUACAAAUUAGUAAUUUCAACUUACCAAUAAAAAAAUUAUAGUAGAUUUUUACCGUGGUAUGAUUGCAAUAAAUAAAAUAAAAUAAAUUUACUUCACAGCAUUAAUAAUUUUUUAGUUUUUGUCAAACAAUAUCAACACACAUGUAUAUUAUGCAUUCACUCAUUUUUUUAAAAAUAAUUAUAAUAAAAUUAAUUAGUUAUUUAUUAUAAAAACUAGACCUAUAAGUUAUGUCUAAGCUGUUAAAAAUAAUAAAAAUAAAAUAAUUUAAAGAUAUAAUAUAUUUUAAAUAAAAUUAUUAGUCAAUCUAUAUCGAGUUGUUUUAUCUACUAAAUUAAAAAAUUUAAGUUUUUAUAUCACUUAGAAUACUUAUGUUGAAUUUAAUCCAUAAAAUCGAUGGGUAUCAUCUCUUACAGAUGAAUCGAUGGGUAUCAAGUUACAUGCCAUCUUGCAACUUCGAAUAACAGACCACUCGACUGGCUCCAAAAUCAAACCAUCUCCACCUCAUUCAACACGAUUUAAAAUAAUCAACACCACCUUUUUAUACAAUGUGGGAUUGAUGAGGAUAUAAAUCUACAAACUCCAUCCAAAGUCUCAAUCUUAUAGUGUUCUUAACUAGUAUAGUAACGCCUCAUUGGCAAGAACCCAAAUCACUAAUAAAAAUUACAACUUUACACCGAAUUUGAACAGAUUUCUACGAGCCGAUGUCACUAAACUCAAAUUACUCCUAAAAAUCUCAAUAUAAACCCAUUAACUACUAGACCAACACCUCAUUGGCUAGAAUCCACGUUGCUUUUCCACAACAAUCAUCAGCUUCUUCAAUUAGGAUGCUACAAGCCCUUGUCUAUAUACUAGCUUAAAUUGCGACAACCUUUGAUUCCGAGAGAAGUUUGGCCUGAUCCAACGGCAGUCAAUGCGUGCUCAAUCUGUACUAGCUUUCCGGUAGGACUGAAAGUAGUGAGAGAAAAGGAGUACUGGCGACCCAUGGUUUAAUGCUUCAACACGCAGAGAGGAAAAACUGAGAAUGCGAGCGUGUGGGAGAGAAAGAAAGGGAUAUUUACUUGGGGUCUUAACUCUGCUUUUCUUGUUGGAGAAGAAGGUGUUUUCUUACGAGGGCUUUUACAAUGGAGUAUUUUGGGCUUUUAUAACGGCAGCUUGGUUCUCUUUACAUUGAGCUCAAUGUUUUUCCCAGAAAUCUGCCCUUCAAAUCUGCAAACACAAACAAUCUUGUAAGGGUACAAGGGAAGCACUCAGAACUUGUAAGAAACUUUAAAAUGCUCAUUUAUAUCUCUCUUUGACCACUUUGCAAAAACUAAGAUUAUGCUCACUAGUCCACCAUCACUCUGAUUAUAGAAGCAAGACUCGACAAUUUAACAACUUAAAAUCACUAAGAGGAAAGAAAAGGAACCUUCAAGCACCUGCAAGUACAUUUGAUUGACACUGGGUUGAGAAACUUUCAUUCAUUUUCACUUAAACAGUAUCUCACAUAAUUUAAUCUCCUGAACUACUAACUAAAGUGUUGAGAGCCAAUUUUGACAUAGGUAAUAAGUUGCACAAGUUAGUAAGAAGUGGCUCAUUGAGCAACCAAAUUGCCAAGAUGUCUUAUUUCAAACCCAAGAACAGAGGAAUGCCUUAUUUUUAUUUUUCUAAGGAACUACAUAUUUGCCCCCCUCUUUUUUUCAGUUGAAACAGAAACAGGGUACAUGUACAACGUGUUAAAGUCAAGUCCAUAACCAGACCAAUUAAGAACAUUGACCUACAAGGAGUUCCACUGAAGUUCAGAUUAUAAGCAGGCAUGCUUCUAUCUCAAUUUACCACCCCGGGUCAAAUUUCACACUUAUCAGGACACUAUAACAACAGCAGAAACUUUACAAUUUCCCACCAAACAUAAAGAGAGCUUUGAAUCUACACACCCGCCUGCUACAAUCAUUCAUGACAGAUAUUUUAGCAAAAUUAAGGCCAGAGAAACACAAGCUAAAAAAAUGGAACUUCCUAAUUACUGAGAAGCAGGCAGAAACAAACCUGUAGACAACUCCAAUAUUGGGUGUCAGAUUCUGUAUUUUCUGAACCUGAAACAGGAAGCAAUUAAAUACCAUCAACAACCAACUCAAGUUACAUCCCAUCUUGCAAAUUAGAAUAAUAGACCAAUCAACUGGCUCCAAAAUCAAACCAUCUCCACCUCAUUCAACACGAUUUAAAAUAACCAACACUACCUUUUUAUACAAAGUGGGAUUGAUGAGGAUAUAAAUCUACACACUCCAACAUUCAAAGUCCCAAUCUUAGAGUCAUUGACUAGUAUAGUAACGCCUCAUUGGCAAGAACCCAAAUCACUAAGCUCAAAUUACUAAUAAAAAUUACAAAUUUACACCGAAUUUGAACAGAUUUCUACCAACCGAUGUCACUAAAGAAAACGCAAAAAAAAAAAACGCAAAAAAACAAAAGGGCUUCUUGAAUUUAAACCAAAGAAUAUAACAAAACCAAUAAAAAAAUAAUAAAUGUUUACUUACAGAAGAUUCAUCGACUAAAAUAGAUGGCAAUUUCUUCUCAGUUGCAACAACAACACCGCUUGCCGCUACAACACCAAAAAAAUAAUAAAAUCAAACAACAUGGUAUCUAAGCACCCAUCAACAACAGUAGUGCAUUCGAAAAUGACAAGAAAAUGAGAAAACAAGAGAGAGAGGAGCUUAAAUUGCAACAACCUUUGAUUCCGAGAGAAGUUUGGCCUGAUCCAACGGCAGUCAAUGCGUGCUCAAAUCUGUACUAGCUUUCCGGUAGGACUGAAAGUAGUGAGAGAAAAGGAGUACUGGCUAUCACCCAUGGUUUAUUGCUUAAGACGCAGAGAGGAAAAACUGAGAAUGCGAGUGUGUGGGAGAGAAAGACAGGGAUAUUUACUUGGGGUUUUAACUUUGCUUUUCUCGUUGGAGAAGAAGGUGUUUUCUUACGAGGGCUUUUACAAUGGAGUAUUAUGGGCUUUUAUGACGGCAGGUUGAUCCUCUGUACAUUGAGCUCAAUGAAGGCUCGGGACCAGUUUUGUUUUCAAGUAUUAUUAACAAAUAUUUAUUUAUUUAUUAAUAUACAUAAUUUUUAAUUUAUUUAAUAACAUUUAUAUAUAUAAUUUUUAAUUUAUUAUAUUUUUUGAACUAGAAAAAAUAAUUUUCCAGAUCGUGAUGUAUAUUUCUCACAUUGUUUAAAGAAGCUAAUUUAACAUUUUUGUUUAGUAAACUAAAUAUUCAACAACUUGGGCGACAAAUAUCUGGUUGCAGCGUGCAGAGAGUAAAAACAAAAUAACUCCCACAAAACCGUUGACCCAUUUUAGACAUGAAGCCAUAGUGUUGUUCGGGGCCCAGCACCGUAAGAGGAAGGCUCCCUCUAAAUUAUAAUUUGGCCCCCUUAAUUUUUUUUCCUUGCUCCGCCCCUGCAUGGAGGGUGGUGAGUUUUGGAUCUAUAAUUAUGCUCUCCAGCGUUUUAUUCAUUGGCUUGGACAGCCUGGCUAACAAUAAUAGCAUAACCACUGCAACAGUGGUUUACAAAUGAUACAUACCUCUUCAGCUUGCUUCCCUCAUUUAUUUGGAUUGAAUCCACUGAAACUGAGGUUUAAGAAUUUCUUGGAUUUAAUCCACUGAAACAGUUGCUUGAUCAAGAUCAUUGGCUUGUUUGAAGGCAGAUAAAGGCUUAAAAAAAAAAAAAAAGCGAAAGCAAGAAAAGGAGGAUGUGAGAAAUAAUUAUAGAUAUGAGUUCCAGUAGUUGAAACAUAUGAAUUACAUAUCAUUUUAUGUUGAGAGAGAAAGAGAGAGAGAGAGAGAGAGGAUGAGAGAGAGGUAUAUCACAGCUGCAUUUGAUAGACUAAAUGGUAAGUAGGAAAUAAAAUCGAAUUACAGUAAAAAGGUCACAUUGAAUGAAAUCCUCCAUGUAAGUAAAAAAGGUCCACAGAGUAAAUGGUAAGAAUUAACACCAAAGCAAAUAACUAACACUCAGAACCAAAUCUUUUACCGUUAAGAAUUAACACUGGUAGAAGAAUUUACCUCUUCCUGCUGGUUCUAAAGACUAAAGAAUUUACCUAUAUAGCAUCAAAAUUAAUCUUUGGGAUGUGAGAAAUCUUUUGCCAAUCUUCACCCAUCUCCUCUUUCCCGUAAUGUUUCCUUAGAUUGGGGCAUCUACAUAUAUUUAAUUCCUGUAGAGGCGCUGCCAAAACAUAGUCUGGUAGUGCUCUCAACAACGGGCACUGGUUAAUUCCCAAAUAUUGAAGUUGUGGCAUAAUGGAUAUUAUUGAAGUUGUGUUGGCAUCUUCUUCUCCCACUCUCCUUCCAAUUCCUUCCCACUCUUCUACUUCUUUGAGGAAAAAAAUGCCAAGUUUUUUUAAUUUGGGGAAAGCAGUGACCCUUGCAAUUUCUCCUUCAUUAAUACUGGCAUUCUCAUCUUUUUCUAUACCUAAAAAUCCAGCAUCCAACCUUCUCACCUUCAACGAGCUCAAUACCAGGAUUUCAAGGUUGGGCAAUCUCCCCAACGGAGGCAAGACCUCCGCGUUUUCGCCAAAAUCAAGUCUAAGCUCCUGUAAUCUGGUUAAUGUCAUCAUCCAAUUUGGCAAAUCCAACCCUCCGUACCUAGAUAUGGUUAGAUUUUCCAAGCCUGACGGAGGCCGUAAAGCUUCAAUUAAAGAGCCUUCAUUCAUUUGCAACUCUGUUUUCUCUCUGUCGAAAUCCAAUUCCAAACGAAGCAGGCUCUUCUUAUUCUUGAGUUGUGCUUCUGCAGCGUCACUCGCAUCUUCUUUACCUCCUCCUAGAUUCCGUAUACGAAGACUCCCUCCAAUGUGAUUCAAGUCUUUUAAUUCUCUUAGAUUAGCUGCUUUACUUUCAUUCUCACCACCACCACACACAGUAAACACAUCUAAUGUUCGAAGACAUGUUAUCCUCUCUAUUCCCUUUGGUAUGAAGGCCACACCUGAACGAUAAAUCCGGAGAUGCCUCAAUUUGAUAAGUUUUCCAAUCGCCUUGGGCAAUUCCUUGAGAGACCGACACCAAGUAACAUCUAGGGAUUGCAGAUUGCAUAAAUCACACGUGGUUUCUGGCAGGGACUCCAACUUUCCACACCAUGCCAAAUUGAGGUGUCUCAAAUGUAUCAAUUUCCCUACCUCGUUUGGUAUUUCUUUGAUAGAAGACUCUGACAAAUUCAAUGACCUGAUGCAUGUCAACUGCUUGAAUAAAUCAGGUAGUGCAGCUCCAAGCGAAGGGUCUCUAGUGUGGAUCAAGAGGCUGCGAAGACCUUUUGCUUUGUGAAUGGACACGGGAAAAGAGGUCUCGUUGGCCAACAUCAUGCUUAAAUGACGAACCCUUUCAAUUGAAGUCUCCACUGUUGCUUCUCCAAGGUAUUGACAUCCACUGUUAGACAUUCAUUUUUUGUCAUAUAUUGGGCAAAAUCAUGCACUAUAUCAUGCAUCUUGAAUCUGAUAAUUUCUAGACCAUACUUCUUACAAUCUUGGAAGAAAGAGCGUGCUACCAAGACUUGAAAGCACUCCUCUCCAACAAGCUCCAUAUCUCCACCUGAAGUCUCCUUGAGGUAACCUUGAGCCAUCCACAUCUUCACCAAUUCAUAUUUUCUCAUCUCGUAGUCUUUUGGAAACAUGGCACAAUACAAGAAACAUCGUCUUACCACAGAAGGUAAAUCGUAGUAACUCAAAAGCAAAGGUGGAAAUAGUCCUCUUUCAACAUGUUCUAGCUCCCACAGUUCGCUAGAUAAAACAUGUUCCCACUCUUCUCUUGUUCUUUUAGACUGCAUUAGACCUCCUAAUACCUUGGCAGCUAGAGGCAAGCCCUUGCAAUUGCUUGCAAUUUUGCCGCCUAUUUCUGUCAAUCUUUCGCGCUCAUCUUUGCUUCUUUUAUGGAAUGCCAACUGAUUGAAUAUUGACAUGCAUACCUCAUCAGACAAUUUCUCAAGGUUGAUCACGUGGUCGGUUCCCAUCAUGGUUGCCACGGAAUGUUUACGAGAGGUCACUAGAAUUCUGCUUCCUGGUGCACCGCCUUUGAGAGAGAGUUUCAGUGGUUCCCAUUGUCCAUGACUUUCUGUCCAGACAUCAUCAAGGACAAGAAGGAACCUCUUUCCCUUAAUGGAUUCAGAAACCCUUUGCAAAAGGGAUUGCAACUCAACCAAAUCCGGUGCACCCGCUUUAAGCUGCUCAAGGAUAGCUUUGGCUAUCCUAACCUCAUCAAAUGGAUCUGAAACACACACCCAUAUCUUUUUCUCAAAAUGAGCCGUAACCUCAGCAUCAUUAAAAGCUAGUUGGGCGAGAGUUGUCUUUCCAAUCCCACCCAACCCUACUAGAGAGAUGACAUCCACGUCCCCUGCUUCCUGACUACUUUCACCCACCAACUUGCUUACAACAGUUUUCUUUUCAAAAUCUCGACCAAUCACGCUUGAUUCAUCAACAAAGGAGGUACUUGUUAGUCGUUGUAGUUCAUCGGUGGCUCUAUACGGAUCAAAGCCAUACGUAGCUCUCUCUUUGGCAAUGUCAUCCACUUUUUCGCAUACUUCUUUGAUCUUAAGGGCAAUGGCGCGACGUCGAACCACUUGAUUGAGACAAGAGCAAGGAGAUUUCAGGAAGGAAC